rnacentral:lncRNA from 1 species
CCAAAAUUAAACCAUGUAUUAUACUAAAUUAAUUCACAAGAGAGUUCCACAUCACUCAAAUAUUAUCUCGCACUCAAAUUCACAAAACUCACUUUCCAGGUACAAAGUUUGUAGCAUAUGACCAUGCAUUGUUUGCAACCGGGUCCGCAAGAUGGUCAGCGAGGUUCUCCAAUGGUCCCUUUCCGGUAACAAUGGCUUGAACAAAGAAUCCAAACAUAGAGAACAUGGCUAGUCUGCCGUUCUUGAGCUCCUUCACUUUCAGCUCAGCAAAUGCCUCUGGGUCAUCAGCCAGACCCAAUGGGUCGAAGCUACCACCAGGGUAAAGUGGGUCAACUACCUCACCAAGAGGUCCACCAGCAAUUCUGUAACCUUCAACUGCACCCAUCAAGAUCACUUGGGUAGCCCAGAUGGCUAAAAUGCUUUGUGCAUGGAUCAAACUUGGGUUCCCCAAGUAGUCAAGACCACCCUCACUAAAGAUCUGGGAUCCAGCCUUGAACCAGACAGCCUCACCAAACUUGACACCAUUACGCGCCAAGAGUUCGGGGAAGACGCACCCAAGAGCUCCGAGCAUGGCCCAUCUGCUGUGGAUGACCUCAAGCUCACGGUUCUUGGCGAAUGUUUCAGGAUCAGCAGAGAGCCCAGCAGUGUCCCAACCGUAGUCACCGGGGAACUCACCGGUCAGGUAAGAUGGGGCUUCGCCGGAGAAUGGGCCAAGGUACUUAACACGGUCGGGGCCGUACCAUGGACUUCCUGAUGGUGCGACUUUCUUGACUGCUGUCUUCCUCAUGGAAACCCUUCCAUUUCCGGUAAUUUCAGAACCAGAUGGUGCUACUUUCACCGCCUGUCCGACGAAAGAAGAGGAUAGUGCCAUGGUGGAAGCUGCCAUUUUUGUGAGAUUUGUUUUGAAGAUGUUUUGAUGAUAUGAUAGUAUUAUGAGUGAUGAAGAUGUGUGGAUCUGGAACGUAGAUUUAUAGGGUGGUUUUUGGGCCAGGUAGUUGAUCAAUGCUUAUCUUGAUACACUCUUUAACUUCAUUUUGAUUGGCUACCAAGAUUUUAGUUCUAUCAGAGGGUAUAUAAUUUGUGUGGUUCAAGUUCUCUGGUCCACGGGAGAUAUUUGAAGGGGCAGCGAUAUUCAUGGCUCUGGCUUAUUGAGCGAAUAUAAUGGCUCGCAUUCUCAGCCACUAGCUAGUCUUGGUGGGGUUUUAGCCAGUCUUUGUGCGGUUUUUCAUGUUUAACCAUUACCAUAGUAUCGACUAAGUUUAGUCCAAACAUGCAUUGAAGUUCAGUAGAUUUGUAUUAUCAUUUUGUUUUUUAUACAAAUUUAUCAUUUUCGUACAUAAUAUAAACUCUAGGAAAAUUAAAUAGAAUAUAUUUUGAGAUAUUGACAACAUUGACCAAAUAAUAAAAAAACGUAACACACCAUUCUAAAAAAUAACAUAUAACCAUGAUGUCCGAAAAAAAUAUAACAUAUAACCAUGAUUUUCGAAAAACAAAAUUCUUGAAGAUGUACAAUUUUCGAAGGUACUAUUUGGUGACUAAUUUUAAAAGAAGCCAUUUUCAAAAUGUAAUAUUCUCGAAGUGAUUAUUUCAGCUACUUAAGGUGAUGUUGAUUUCAAAUCUCUAACAUGACAAAAAGCUUCCCCAACAAAUCUGAAGCAUGGACAUUUCAACCUAAAGAUGGGUGAGGGAAGUUCUUUUAUUGAUCAUCUUUUGUUUUCUAACAGCUUGUAGAACAUCUAGAAAUAUUGGAUGCCACAUAUGAAAAAGAAGACUUGCCGUUGUUCCUAUUGUCAUCUUUAACAAAUUCAUAUGAUGACUUUUGUGAUAAUAUUAUCUAUAGCUGAGACACCAUUGUCUUGGAUGAGAUCAUGACCACUUUAGACUUGAACGAAAGGAUGAAACUUAUCAUUAGUGAUAGUAAUGGUGAUAUAAAGGACGAAGGUCUCCAAGUAAGAGGAAGAUAUAUGUAGGGAAGUAACGAUUCCAAAUCCCUUAACAAGUCAAGAUCCAAGUCCAAAGAGAAACGUAUAUAGUGCAAAUAUUGUGUGUCUGUUGAAGCUGAUGUGGCCGAGAUCGUCUUUGAUGGCGAGCUUCUAGAAUUAUUUCUGACGAUGGUUAUUUGAUUACCACGAACGGUGGGUUCUUGAAUUUGUGCGUGCUUUUCACAUGAGUCCAAACAAAUACUAUUGUCACACCACAUUGAAAAGGAUAGUUGAUGCCAAGUUUUAAUAGGCAACGUCGACACUUCCUCCCUUAUUUUAGGACAAGCCACAAUUAGAUUUUGAAUGUUCGAUGGUGUAGUAAGUGUUGGGUUUCUAUAACAUCAAGUACACACAAACAAGGUAGUGGAAACAAUGAAAUGAUAUACCUAAGUGCAUAUGCUCUUUAGAUCUAGGUUUUACUAGUUUUAGCAAAAUACUUAAAAAUCAACAUAAAAUAAAGAUAAAACACUUACUUUUUGUUCAUUUGUAACGUCAUAAUAAAUACUCUCUCCGUCCCAAAAUUAUUGUUCACAGACAAAAAAAAAACACACAGAUUAAGAAAACAUUAAUUACUACUAACUUUAUUCAAUAAAAUGACAGUUAUGUCCUUAUUUUGCAUUUAAUGUUCGAUUAAAUGCUUAGUUGGUUAAGUAAUAAUAAUAAAGUGUAUUUUGGUAAAAAAGUUAUUUAUUUUUAUAAGUGGACUAUAAUUUUAGGACAAACCAAAAAGGAAAGAUGGACUAUAAUUUUGGGACGGAGAGAGUAAUAAUUACUAAAAUAAAAUCCUAAAAUAGGAUAAUCUAUAGCCGUGCGCGCUGCGGACUAUAUAAUACAAGUUUCUUAUUAAGGAAAAAUAGGAAAAAUCACCCGAGUCGUCCGUAAGUCAUAAAAAUAAGUGUGCCAAAAUGUAUAUAUUAUUAUAUAUUCAAAAAGUACAUGUCGUCCUGAUCCCGAAAAUAUAAAUUUCGUAGAAAUCUUAGUUCAUAUGAAGACGAUAUGAAUUUUAUAAGACAUAAAAAUCAACAGCCUAACUAAAAAUUAUUAACGUCAAAAUGUACAAAGAGAAUGGUUGACCUUUGGGUAAAGUCACCAAAAUGAAAAUCAUAAUGCUCUUUAAUGUAAGAAUUUUGGUAAAAGAAACACAAAAACUCGGAGUCCGUAUGGGAAAGUUAUGAUUUUUGCAAAAUCAUUAAAUCAUAUAAAAAUAAGGGCUAAAAACAAAUUCAGAAUUAGCCGAUGGAGCCUAAAGGAAAGUUGUAGUAUUGUCGAGAGCUACAUGUGGAAAAAAAGAACGUCAAAAGCAGAGUCCGUAUGAAGAAGGUGAAAAUGCGACCCAAUGAGAGCUUGACACGUGACACAAUGUGGCUAGGGAGAAGUCACCUUAAAAUGCACGACGUACACCCCCAUUGCACACUGUGCACCCAAAAUCGGCUAUAAAUAGGAGGUCAAGCCUCAUUCACUCCUCAACACCGCUUCUAUCAUUCUCUUUCGAUUUCCUUUGGUUCUGGCCCAUUUUAUCUUAGUUUUAGCAUUCGGCGAAGCCCUGCGAUCCCUAAAGUAGUAGUAGUUAGCGAGUAGAAGCUUUGCCAAUGCAAUUUCCUAACUUUGUUAGGAAGAACCUUUGUAAGUUAAGCUAUACUCUAGUCUUUUCAAUGUAAGUUAUAUUUAUAGUCAUAAGUCAUUAUUAUGAACCUAUAAAUAAGAUUUAUCAAUAAUUCUAUGUCGUUAUACUGAUUGAUCUACUUACGGGAGAUGUGCCUAGAAUGGUCACGUUGGCUUGGUUGUUGGAUUUCAAAAAAGAUAAUGAUUCUGCCUCCCAACUGUCCUGCUUGGAUGAUCCUUAAUUGAUAGAUCUUGAUUUAGACAUCAAAAUUAAUGAGGAAUCUAGUCAUCAGGACCAUUAGACUAGAACUUUAUAUAAAUUAUACUUAGGUAUCGGAAAUAUCUGAGGUGUUAGGCAAAGCUCUGCCCAGAUCACCAGCCACCCACCUAAGUCAAGUGAGUACAUAGUCCCCUUCAUGAACACGAUUUAAUACAAGUAUUAAUUGAAAUAUUAAAAAUCUGCUGGAAGUCGUAUGUGAAUUAUAUACUUAUUGCCUGGAUUGUAUGUUAGGAUAUAUGGUGCUAUGUGCGAACUAGAUAUGGUUCUAUUUUAUGUUAAGAUAAAUAGAUAAUAUUACAUAAUAAUAUUCAAAGCAAAAUUGUUGAGAAGAUAAAUGAUUAAUAACACCUAAUACUCUUAUGGAAUAUAUAUAUAUAUAUAUACUAAGAUAGGUUAGUGUCGCCCAAGAAUAGAGUUGGUAUUAAAAAUUUAGUUUCAGGCACGGUAUUCUAUUCUAGGAAUAAACUUAGACUUAUGGAAGAUACCUAGUUCAAUUAAGUUGAUAUUAGAUAGUCUCAUUAGGAGAAUGUGCGUAACCUAGGAAUGGAGAGUAAAGUUUUGUUCCAUGACACUAUUAGGUGUCGAUUUGUUAUAGCUUCGUACUAGAUGACCAGAAAUGGUGGGUCCUGAUCAGGCAACUGUUAGCAGUAUGUCUAGUCACGCCACAUAGUAUUUUUGGAUUAGAUGUCCAAACCCAUAACUAUAAUUGGUAUAUACUUGACCCGAGAGUAGCAUGGUCCAUUUCAGGUUGCCUUCAUCAAAGCAAUUUGACAAGAUAGAUAUUUGAGAAAGAGGUUAUUUGUGAUUUACUAAUAUUAUAAGAAUAAUAUAUUAAUUAAGAAAUCAUAUUAUUUAAGUAGUAUUGUUCAAAAAUUAAUUUGGAAUUAAUUUAGUAAUCAAAAGAGACUAAUUAAAUUUGCAGGGACUGAUUAGGUAAAUCAGUGAUAUUUAUAGUUUGGGGCCUUUGGGCUAAUGAUCAAUGUUGAUUAGGAUUGGACUAAUUCUUUGUGAGAGUCCAUGAAGAGUUAGUCCAAAACGCUAAUGAGUUAUUGGAUUAAAAGCCCAAGUGAGUUAGGGUUUACAAGUUGAAUCCCUAGGAAUUCAUAACAUUAUUGAAGCAACAUACUAUUGAAUAAAAAAACUUCUAAACCCUAAUGGAAAUCACAAUUUUCAGAAGAAUUACAUACCUCUAAUUUGUUAUUGUAAGCAAACCUUUGAAUCCAACAAGAUCAAUCCAAAAGUCUCUUUGAAAACAAACUUCAAUUGUGAGCGAGCCUCUAAUGGUUCGCACUCACAAGACAAGAACCCUAGAAAGAUUAGGAGAGAGGUUCAAAUUUUUGGAUCUACUAUCUCAAUAGAAGUGGCCAAAAAUUUCAAGGUACAAGACCCUAUUUAUAGCUUAUUAGGAAACAUCUAGAAACCCUAAUUUGAACAUAAAAUAAAAUUAUCUCAAAUAAGUCAAUUAUUUAGUUUCUUGAUUAUCUGCAUGGAGGCUUCCUGAAACCUUAGUGGGUCUAAAAAAAAGGUCCACUGGAGGAAGGUUCUGGAAUCUCUCCUCUGCUCAACUCUUAAAACAAGUUUCGCUUUAGUCCUUCAACCUUUAAUUAAUUUUAAUUAACCAUAAAUUAAUUCCAAACCAAUUCUAAAUUAAUCAUAACUAUUUAUAAUUAAUAUAUUAAUCAUAUAAUAUAUUAAUAAAUCAUUUCUCUCUCUUCUAAAAUCAAUCUAAGCAAUUUCUUGGUUAUGAGGGCAACCCAAAAAGGACUUUGCUUUUAUUUAUCAACAUUAUAUCAAUUUAGUUUGGAUCUUAGACACCUUAAUCCAACAUAAGGUUCGUAAUACAUAUACAUGUUGUGUAUGUCCAUUAGCAAAACAAAAAUGAUUACCAUUUGUUUCUGCAAACAAUGUAUCUCAUACACCUUUUCAAUUGAUUCAUUGUGACAUUUGGGGUCCUUAUCAAAUCAAUUCACAUCGGGGUUAUAGGUUUAUCAUUACUAUUGUGGAUGAUUACACUAGAUUCACUAGGAACUAUUUGAUAAGACACAAAUCUGAGGCACAAUUUGUUAUUCCCCAUUUUUUUUUUUUAAAAAUGGUGCUCAAAUAAUAUCAUACUCAUAUAAAUAUUUUCAGAUCGGAUAAUGCAAAAGAACUUCAACUCAACGUGUUUUUUAAACUAAAUGGAGUAUUACAUCAGUUCUCGUGUGUUGAUAGACCACAACAAAACUUUGUUGUUGAGAGAAAACUUCAACAUCUCUUAAAUGUGGCAAUGACAUUGUUCUAUCAAGCUCACAUUCCUUUUAUAUGUUGGCUUGAAUGUGUUUCAACAAGUGCCUACAUGAUAAAUAGAACUCCCUCAAAAGUUCUUGGAAAUAUUUCUGCUUAUAAAAAUCUCUAUAAAGAAUAGCCUCAUUACUCAUAGCUUUGAAAUUUUGGUUGUUUACCUUUUGCAUCCACACUUCAUUCUCAAAGACAUAAGUUUGAUCAUUGAGCAAGAGCAUGUGUUUUCAUUAGAUAACCACAAGGAAUGAAAGCAUAUAGAUUUCUUGAUAUAGAAACAAAUCAAAGUUUUGUUUCUAGAGAUGUCAUAUUUCAUGAGGGGAUAUUUCCUUUUAAAUAAUGCUCGCCAUCUUCUCAUACAAAUCCAUUUAUCUUUCAUGUUUUGCCUAUACUUUUACCUAGAAUCACUCAUUCUUUUACUCCUUCAGAAAAUCUCAAUCAAUUUGAUUCCCAAAUUGAUACCUUACAAAUGAAAUUCCAAAUUCACAACCAAUAUUUCUAGACCACGAAGACAAAGAGCUCCUCCUUCAUAUCUUCAGGAUUUUCAGUAAUUUGAUAAAUCCAAUUCCAGAAGAAACAUCUAUCAAAUACCCAUUAUUUGUUGUAUUAUCUUAUUUACAUCUUUCUCCUUCUUACCAAGCAUAUACUUAUGCCUUAUCUACUCAAACUAAACCCACUUCUUUUAAAGAAGCCAUUCAACAACCUAAAUGAAAGCAAGCAAUUGAUGAAGAACGUCAUGCUUUAGAGUUAAAUAAUAGUUGAACCAUUGUAACCCUAUCUCUUGAUAGAAAACCUUUGGGCUGAAAACGGGAUUUUAAACUUAAAAAGAAGGUUGAUGGAUCCAUUGAAAUCCAUAAGGAUAUAAUGGUAGCAAUGGGCUAUAGUCAAUAAGGAGUGGAUUUUUUUGGAUACUUUCUCACUUGUGUAAAAUUUAGUCAUAGUCAAACAUUUGCUGCUAACAAAGCUUGGCCACUAAUCCAAUUAGAUGUUAAUAAGCUUUCCCAAAUGGGGAUUUAAAUGAAGAGGUUUAUAUGCACUUACCACAAGGAUAUACUCCAUCUUUGUUUCUAAUUCCAGUGGAAAAUUAGUCUGCAAUUUUGAAAAAUAUUUAUAUGGUUUACAACAAGCUUCAAGGCAAUGGUAUGAUAAAUUUUCAAAAUUUUCUUAUUUCUAAAUAUUUCAAGCAAUAUCAAUAAAAAAAUUCCUUAUUUUUCAAAGGAAAAGAUGAUAAUUUUAUGGCCUUAUUAGUAUAUGUAGACGAUAUUGUCCUUACGGCUUAUUCUCUCACAACCAUUAAUAACAUCAAACAACGUUCAAGUGAUGCCUUUUAUCUCAAAGAUUUGGGUAAACUCAAACAUUUUUUGGGUUUGGAAAUUGGAAGAUCCCCAAAUGGAAUUGUCAUUUCUCAAAGGAAAUGUGUUAGAUCUAUUUGAAGAUGUUAGCAUGUUGGUAUCCAAACCAACCUCUCAAUUAAUGGAUCCUUGUCAUAAAAAAUUAAUUUUUUAUGGAUAACCUGUAUAAGAUCCAUCUCAUUAUCGCCAUUUAGUUGGUCGUCUUCUUUAUCUCACAAUCACACCUCCCGAAAUAGCUUAUGUAGUACACAGAUUAAGCCAAUAUAUUUCUGAUCUAAAAAUACCACAUCUUCAGGUAGCUCAUCAUGUGUUAUGAUUUUUAAAGGAUAACCCUAGACAAGGUUUGUUUAUUUCAUCCAAACCAUCUUUGCAAGUCAAAGCAUUCAAUGAUUCUGAUUGGGUUGGAUGUAUUAACACUAGAAGAUCUUUUACAGGUUUUUGUGUUUUUCUUGGAGAUUUCUUAAUCUUGUGGAAAUCCAAGAAAAAAACCACUUUUCCAAGAAGAUCAAUAGAAGUAGAGUACAGGGCACUGGAUCUGUCAUAAAUGAUGUGAUCUGGUUAAGAUAACUUAUGCGUGAUUUUUUUUAUUAAUUUGGAUCCACCAACAUUUGUUUUUUGUGAUAAUAAUUUUGCAAUGCAAUUAGCUGUCAAUCCUAUAUUUCACUAGAGGACUAAGCAUAUCUAAAUCGAUUUCCAUUUCAUAAGGGAAAUGAUUGUGGAUCACACCAUCAAACUCAUGCCCAUUCAUACUUCAAAUUAACUAGCGGAUAUAUUUACAAAACCCCUUGCUUAUUCUAGAAUUGCUUUGAUUUUAUCCAAGAUGGCACUUAAAAGUAUUUUUUAGUGUACAUCUUGAGGGAGGUAUUAGAGCAUAUUGACCGCUUAGUUGAUUAAAUAUCUAUUACGAUGCCGUUUUAUAUUUGUCAUUAGAAAUAAAGGUAGUGAAACUAUGUCAUUUACUUGUGUAAAUAAGUUGUUAAGUUAGUUAGGUGCAUGUUAGCUAAUGUUGUGCAAGAUAAUAGUUAUAUAUAAUCUCAUUUUAUAUUUAUUGAUGAAUAAGAGAAGAUUAUAUUCCCUUUUCAAUUCUUUUUCUUCUUGAUUGUAAAUCUUUCCUCUACCCAUACCUUUCAUAACCCCCUAAAACUAUUUAAUCAAAUCGGUCACUGAAUUCUUGUUUCCAAUUUUGAUUCGAACGACGGUACCUCAAGCCAUUGUUUCAGAUCUUGAGGUAAAUACAAUUGCUCUAUUUCCCUUAAUUAUAAAUUGCAUUCAUGAUUUAUUGUUGAUUGAUGGUGCUAAAUGUUCAGAUGUAAAUCAUACACAUUGUGAACUUAUAGAAACAAUAUGUUGUUCCUAAAAUUGGUAAAAUCCAAAAUCCAAGAUGAUGCAAAUAUCGAUGCUCUACUAAAACUCAUAUAUGUCAAUGGCGCUACAUGAUGGAAAAAGAGCCACUUUUAGUUUGUUGUCAAAAGGCAAAGUGAAGUUAAGACAGUCUUCUCUCAAAUACGACCUCUAGCCUUAGGCUUCAAGUUGUUUCUCGUGUGAGUUUGGGUCUUUCAAAAUUCAACAAAUUUGCUACAAUGGAUACAAAUGUUCUUUAUGGAUACAUCACUAGACUGUAAAAUGAGAUUGAUAACAUUCACGAUGUUGUUAGAUUGCUUACAUUCAUGAUGUUGUUACAUUGGUAAAAGUCCGAGAUGACAUCAUGGUGGACGUUGGUAGAACGAGACAUGACAUUGUGUUCCUGCUCAGUACUACGCUUCCACCAUACUUAGUGUCACUUAUAUGUAGAAAGGUGUUAUCUAUAUCAAUUUUAUAUAUUAUGUAUAGUGUAGGGAGACAAUUUUAACAAUGUAUUGUAUAAAUAUAUUCUGCAAUAUACGCCUCCAAAUGAUGAGGUUUUUCCCACUUUAAUAUGGUAUCAAGCUACGGUUUCUACCCUCUUUAAUCAUACGUAUGGAUCAAACCUUUUACCGCCUCACAUUUUUUUUUCUGGCCAUUAAUCACGUUGUCGCUGCUCUUAUAUGCCACUAUAAUUGUCGACUGCUUCUCAAUUUUUCUCGACGUGCUCUCCUCCGUGCAUUAGGGUCUUCCUAAAAUAUGGUUGUGGUUGAUUCUUUUAUGUUUCCAACAAUAUUUUACAAUCUCCUGCUGUGAUCACAUAAUUUUGCCCUCAUCAUUAUUGUGUGCGUUUCUUGCUCCUUAAGGUAUUGCCUCCAUGACCACUCCUGGUUCAUCCUCUACCACCACUCCCAUGAAGUUAAGUCUCGUUUGUACUCUCACCAACGUUUACAAUCAUUUUAGUUUCAAAUUAAAUGUUGAUGAGCCAAACUGUAAACUAUGGAAUCAGAUUUUUUCAAACAUGUGUCGAGGCACAUUGUCCUAUGGUAAUAUUUCAUAGAAAUCGGUUCCAACCAGAGAUGAUGAGGAAUGAUAUUCGGUUGAUGCAAGGCAUCAAUUCUUAUUUUUAUAGUAUUGUGAUCCCGAGUUUCUUCAAUUCAUCUUGAGCGAUGAUUACACCACCACAAAUCUUUCGAAAAAAUUAGAUGAAUUUUUCGGAACAACAAAAUAUCUCGAAUGUUGCAAUUACAGGAUUAAUUUCGCAAUACGAAGAAGGGUUCAAGCUCCAUUACCGAAUUUUAUCACAUUCUCAAGAACCGUGCCAAUGAUCUCAAAGAUGUUGGUUCCACCAUCAUCGAAAUUGAGCUAGUAAUGCCAAUCUUGAGACAAUUACCAUCUCAUACCAUAGUAUUACGGAUGUCAUCACCAACAUCAAGCCUUUUCACUCUUUCCUUGAGGCCAAGAAUAUGCUUUUACUUCAUGAGUCUCGAGAAACGGCUUAAGAUUCCUUCACAAAUUCAUCCAUGUCUCAUAGUGUGGCUCUAUUUUCCUCAUCCAACAAUUUGGGAAAUCCAAAUACCGAUGGUCGAAAAACUGGAACAAUUCCCGAAAAAUUGAAAAACAAUGCACAUGGAAAUCAUUUUGAUUCGCAACCGCAAUUUAUUAGAAUUCUUGGAAAUGCUCUGUUGCCACCUCCGCGUGCUGCCUCUGGUUACGUUGCUGCUAUCCCAGCUGCUUCGCACUUAAUCCUACUGUCUUACAGCUCCUAUCUGUAGGUUCCAUUCUCGCCGAAUCAGCAGCCCACGUGACAACUGUCAGUGCCUCCGCAACCCUCUUCUCAACAUUUCACUUUUCAUCAGCAUCUGACUCAUGUUGUUGGGUCUUCAUCAUCAGCUACACCCCUCAGACUUGUUUCUCAACAACCAAGUCAGGUGCCUCACGGUCACUUUUCUCAACAUCAAUUUUUUGGUGGAUCUACUUUUGGUUGUCACGUUCAGACUACUCCUUAACAAUUCAUCGAUAUCGCCUCUGCCUUUCAAUCCAUGUCUCUUCAGCCGCCUCUCGACAACAACGUUUACGUGGACUCCGGUGCUAGCUAUCACAUGUCCUUCAAAUCAGUUAACAUGCCUUGCCUAUCACUACGUAAUUCUAGAUCUCUAAUAGUUGCUAAAGGUGCUAUACUUCAUAUUACUCAGACUGGUCAAAUUUUUUUUCCACAUUCACACAACUGUUUAGCUCUAAAUAGCAUACUUGUCUCAAAUAAAAUUGUUAAAAAUCUCAUUAAUGUAUGUCAGUUCACUGUUGAUAACUUUGUCUCUGUAACUUUUGACCCUUUUGGUUUCACUGUGAAGGAUUUUAAAACAUGUGCGUUUAUUUAAAGAUGUGAUAAUGGCAGUGAUCAUUGUCCCGUUAUCCCCAUGCCAACUCCUUCUUUUUCUAACACUAGUUGUGUUGUUGUUUCUCUCCCAACUUGGCAUAUGCGUCUUGGUUACCUUGGCUCAUCUAUUUUGAAUUUUUUACAUUCUUGCAAGUUUAUUUCCCAUACUACUACUAAACUACCCAUCUAUCAUGCUUAUUAGCUUGGGAUGCAUUGUCGUUUACCCUUCUCUUCGUCUAUAAUUAAAACUACUAGUAUGUUUGAAUUGGUGCAUUUAGAUUUAUGGAUAUCUCUUAUUGCUAGUCUAAGUUGUUUUAAAUAUUAUAUUUUUUGGAUGAUUUUACUCAUUUCUUAUGGGUUUUCCAUCUUCGUGAAAAAUCUGAUAUUUUUGAUGUUUUAUCUAACUUCCAUGGAUGUGUCCAAACUCAAUUUAAACCUGACAUCAAAUUUUUUCAAUGUGAUAAUGGUUGUGAAUUCAAUAACAAAUCUGUUCUCACUUUCUGUGCCCAUAAGGAAAUCAAAAUUGGCUUCUCUUGUCCGUAUACGUCCCAACAGAACGAUAAGGUUGAAAGAGUCAUACGAACCAUUAAUAACAUCCUUCGAACUUACCUGUUUCAAGCCUCCCUGCCUCCAACAUUUUGGGUUGAAGCUCUCCUCAUUACUGUUCAUACCCUUAAUCUCCUUCCCACCUCCACUCUUGCGUUUCAAACACCCUUUGAGCUUCUCUUUGGUGUUUUUUCCCUCCUAUGAUCACCUUUGAGUAUUUGGGUGCCUUUGCUACCCAAAUCUCUCAUCCACGACUCCCCAUAAGAUCUCUUAUAGGUCUUCUUCAUGUGUAGACCUCAAUCCCUCCUCUAAUCAUUGUGGCUUUUGUUGCCUUAAUCUCAUCUCCCAACGAGUAAUUAUCUCUCGUCAUGUCAUCUUUGACGAUCACUUCCAUUUCUCUACCUUUCAUGAUAAACCCUCAACCAAUUACUAUGAUCCUUUCCUUUCCGAGGAUAUACCUCCCCUCCUUACAGUAUGCACUACUCUUCGCAUCACUGAGCCCUCUCCUAGUGAAUCUUCUCCCGCUCUUUCUGAUAGUAGUUCCCCUCAACCCACUGCCUCCUCCUCCUUUCCUAAUACUAUUCCUACCCCCUCCUCCUACCCAUCCCAUGGUCACUUGCUCUCGCACUGGCUUUCUCAGGCCUAAGUAGAUUUUUAAUCUAUUUGCCACUUCUGAUGUCUCCCCUAUCCCUCGCUCUAUAUCUCAAGCUCUAUGUGAUCCUAACUGGAUUUUUCCAUGGACUCUGAAAUGCAGGCUCUUCACUCCAAUCACAAAUGGGAACUUGUUCCCCUUUCUCCAUGCCAAAAUUGUUGGUUGUCGCUGGCUUUAUUGUCAUAAGUUUGACAGAAAAGGUAACCUAGAUCGCUAUAAAGGUUGCCUUGUUGCUUAGGGAUUCUCUCAGCUUCCUGGUCUUGACUUUGAUGAUACCUUCAGUUCUGUUGUCAAACCUGAUACGAUUUGUACUGUUCUAAUUAUUGCGAUGUCCAAGCAUUAGCCAAUUCAUCAACUAGAUAUCAAAAAUGGUUUCCUACAUGGUUACCUAUCUGAGGAAGUUUACAUGAAACAACCUCAUGGGUAUGUCCAUCCCUCCCUUCCUAAUCAUGUAUGCCGACUUCUCAAAGCUCUUUAUGGUCUCAAAUAGACUCCCAAGCCAGGUACCAACGCUUUGCUGUUUUCAUCACCUCUCUCGGUUUUACUAGAAGUCGGUCUGAUUGUUCCUUAUUUACUUAUCACUCUGGUUUCGACCAUAUCUUCUUUCAUUUUUAUGUUGAUGAUAUCAUCCUCACCUCCUCCUCUUUCUCCACUCUCAUCACUCACAUUAUCUCAUGUCUCUCGUCUGAGUUUUCCAUGUCCAAAUUGGGUCCUAUUUCCUUAUUCAUUGGCAUCGAUGCUUUUCGAUCUGAGGAGAGUCUAAUUUUAUCUCAGGCUUCCUUUAAUGACAUCUUAGCUCGUGCUGACAUGUCUUCUUGCAAUCCGUGCAGUACCCUAUCUGACACUAAAUCUAAACUUUCUCCUCACGGCUCUCCUGUCUCUGAUCCCACUCUCUACAGGAGUCUUGUUGGUGCCUUACAAUAUCUUACUUUCACUCGUCCUGACAUUGCAUAUGUUGUACAGAUCUCUCUUCAUGUUUGCGUGAACCUCAUCUUCUUGCUCUUAAACGUAUCCUUCACUAUCUUCAGGGUACUAUUUCUCAUGAUAUGUUUAUUCGACCUUCCUCCAUUGAUCACUUGGUCUCCUAUUAUGAUGCAAACUGGACCGAGUGUCCUCAUACUCGUUGGUCUACUUCUGGGUUUUGUGUUUAUCUUGGCAAUAAUCUCGUCUUUUGGUCCUCUAAACAUCAACAUGUUGUUUCUCACUCCUCAGCUGAGGAUGAGUAUUGUGGGAUGGCUAAUAUGGUUGCUAAAGCUGCUUGGCUUUGUAAUCUCCUUCUUGAGUAAUCUUGUACGUUAUCUAAAGCAACAUUUAUGUUUUACUAAAUGUGAGUGCCAUGUAUUUAUCUUCUGAACCAUUAAAACACGAACGUAUUGCUCGUGCCGUCGAUUCACUAAUUUGCAGAUAUAUUUACAAAGGGUCUUCACCGGUUUAAAUAUUUGUAAAUCUCAUGCUCUAACUAGAGGGUGCCUUAGUUUAUAUUAGUUUAUAUAUAUUAUGUAUAGUGUAGGGACCAAUUGUAACUUUAUAUUGUAUAAAUAUAUUCUGCAGUAUAUGUCUCAAAUUGAUGAGGCUUUUCCCACAUUUAACAAAAGGAAAACUAAAUUAACACCAAAUUGCCCAAAAUUAAACCAUAUAUUAUACUAAAUUAAUUCACAACAGUUCGACAUCAAUCAAAUAUUAUCUCGCACUCGAAUUCACAAAACUCACUUUCCGGGUACAAAGUUUGUAGCAUAUGACCAUGCAUUGUUUGCAACAGGGUCAGCAAGGUGGUCAGCGAGGUUCUCCAAUGGUCCCUUUCCGGUAACAAUGGCUUGAACAAAGAAUCCAAACAUAGAGAACAUGGCUAGUCUACCGUUCUUGAGCUCCUUCACUUUCAGCUCAGCAAAUGCCUCUGGGUCAUCAGCCAGACCCAAUGGGUCGAAGCUACCACCAGGGUAAAGUGGGUCAACUACCUCACCAAGAGGUCCACCAGCAAUUCUGUAACCUUCAACUGCACCCAUCAAGAUCACUUGGGUAGCCCAGAUGGCUAAAAUGCUUUGUGCAUGGAUCAAACUUGGGUUCCCCAAGUAGUCAAGACCACCCUCACUAAAGAUCUGGGAUCCAGCCUUGAACCAUACAGCCUCACCAAACUUGACACCAUUACGCGCCAAGAGUUCGGGGAAGACGCACCCAAGAGCUCCGAGCAUGGCCCAUCUGCUGUGGAUGACCUCAAGCUCACGGUUCUUGGCGAAUGUUUCAGGAUCAGCAGAGAGCCCAGCAGUGUCCCAACCGUAGUCACCGGGGAACUCACCGGUCAGGUAAGAUGGGGCUUCGCCGGAGAAUGGGCCAAGGUACUUAACACGGUCGGGGCCGUACCAUGGACUUCCUGAUGGUGCGACUUUCUUGACUGCUGUCUUCCUCAUGGAAACCCUUCCAUUUCCGGUGAUUUCUGAACCAGAUGGUGCUACUUUCACCGCCUGUCCGACGAAAGAAGAGGAUAGUGCCAUGGUGGAAGCUGCCAUUUUUGUGAGAUUUGUUUUGAAGAUGUUUUGAUGAUAUGAUAGUAUUAUGAGUGAUGAAGAUGUGUGGAUCUGGAACAUAGAUUUAUAGGGUGGUUUUUGGGCCAAGUAGUUGAUAAAUGUUUAUCUUGAUGCAAUUUUUAACUUCAUUUUGAUUGGCUACCAAGAUUUUAGUUCUAUCAGUGGGUCCAUAAUCUGCGUGGUUCCACUAUUCGAGUUCUCUGGCCCACAUGAGAUAUUUGAAGGGGCAGCGAUAUUCAUGGCUCUGUCUUAUUAAGCGAAUAUAAUGGCUAGAAAUCUCAGCCACUAGCUACCAUGCACAAACCGGUUUUUUUUUUGAACCGGACCGCUUCAAAAAUCCGGUUCGGUUCUAGUCAAUUUAGUCAAAACCAGUUUGGUUCCAAACCGGUCCAGCUUCAAAAUAAUUCAAACGUAUGUAAACUCGUUAAAGAAAAAACCGGUUCAAAAAGGGUUCAAAACCAGUUUGACGGAAAAAAGGUUUUUUUCAAUUUUUAUUUUGUUUUUAGGCUAAUAACUGAAAAAUAGGAAUUUUUUUUUAUAAUAUUGCUUUUAUUGUGUUUAAAAAAAAAGUUUCACACUAGGUUUUUUGAAAAUGGAAGUGGAAUGAAUUGGGAAUUCAUAAGCCUUUUUUUUGGUAAUACACACGUACACACGUCCAUAUGCCAAAAGGUUUUUAUUAUUAUUUUUUUUAUUUCUUGUUUAAUCUUUUGAUGUAUUAAAUUUUUUUUUUGUUUCAGAUUUGAUGUUUUAUCUUUUUUUUUUUCAUUUUUUUUGUUUUUUAUAUUGGAAAUACAUAAUACAACUUCAAACAUAAAAACACAAAACAUCCAAAUUGUCAAACUAAUACAUCUUCAAAUAUAAAACAUUGAUGUCGUCGUAGUCUUCAUUCCAAGUCCGUAGUCAUUGUAUUUAUUCGUCAUCCGCCAUGUCGUUGCGUAAUUCUCUCUCAUACUCGAUCUCUUCUAGGGUGAGUGACACCGACAUUCCCAUCGCUACUUCUUCCUCAUGUACUCGUGCUUCGACAUGCAACGAUGUGCCUUCUAGUGCUUCGAUGUCUUGUAUCCUUUCCACGCCAUCAAGGUAGUAUUUCAAGCAAAUGCACACUUCCACCGACAAAUGGGUUAGUUUUGUUCUUCUUGGUGAUAUUACCCUGCCACUAACAGAAAAACCGAUUCCGANUUACCCUGCCACUAACAGAAAAAGCCGAUUCCGAAGCUACCAUAGAAGCUUGGGAGCUUAGUAGAUCACGGGCCAUAGCGGCUAGAAUUGGAAAUUAGGUUUCCUUUCCUUUCCACCAAACCAAAAUAUCAAAAUUUUCAAACUCUUGAAUACUCAUUUCACUACUAGAAAAAUAGCCUUUUACGACGCGCGAACAACGACACGCGCUGUUUUAUGAUACACAAUAGUGUGUGCCCUAAAAAUAAUGUCGGCUCUCCAAAAAUUAGAAGGAUUUAGGGUACGCAUUUUUGCGCGCCCUAAAAUAAGUGUUACAUUAAAAAAAAACACGGAGGGCACAUAACAUAAAACGCGCGUCCACUAAGUAUGUCGCUUUAUAUUUUUUAAAUGAAAUGCGGGUCACAUUUUUUAGGGAAAACGAAAUUCCAAAAAGUUUGAAAGGCCCGCCAUGUUCCUACCUUCUUUCCACCGUUCUUCUCUCCCUUACUCAAAAUACCCAAAAAAAACCCUAAUAUACUCAUCGCUCCUCUUUUCUCCCAUAACAAACUCGCACCAUCACCAAAUCUCUGAUCUCCCACCAGCAAAAGGUCUCCUACCGAUGUCUCCACCUACUCUCUGCCCUCUCACUAUUUCUCUCAAUUAAAAACGCUAGAUCUCUCAAUCAGAGAACCAUGGCUACUUCUCCUUUCUCCCACACCAGUUGGCAAAAAGUGAGGAGUCUCGAGCCUAGCAGUUGAUAUUCACAUGCCCUCUUAAAUUGAAGGAAUCAGAACAUUGUCGACAUCAAUUCGUUAAUCAUCACUAGAGAAAUCAGAUACGCCAUCUGGUUGAUGAGUCAAGAGAAAUCACAUAUGUCAUCGCUUCAGCAAUCAUCCCUCCUUUUAACCGUAAGUUUUCAAUCUUACACUUUACAAAUAUCAUAUAAACAUCUCUCUCUCUCUCUCUCUCUCUCUUUCUCUCUCCUGCUAUACCUUGAUGAAUUAUCGCAUACAUAUGGAGGAACUGCUUUCUAAAAGCCAGCUAUCGGGAGAGUCAACAGGGUCAAUUGGGUGUUCAAAAGGUGCUUCGAUAUCAUCUUCCCGCCAGCAAAUCUCUGUUAAAGUUGUCACAGAGUAAUCCAUUUGAGUUUGGGCAUAUAUUUUUUGUUAUUAAUUUAGGGGGAGACUGUGUUCCAUGAUUUUGGUCAUGCAUUUCUUCAGCACACGCUAACAAGACAAGAUGAAGGGCUUGUUGUUGGUAUUCGUGGCAUAGAGUGGAUGCUGUUGAGUUACCUUUCCAGUUCAUGGAAAAUUGGUGCUACCGUAGGUAGGUAUAUAUAUCUCCAAUUUCAAGAUGUUGUUCAACUGCUGCAGGAACGAGGUGAGGGUGGCUGAUGAGAAUUUGUGACAGGAACUAUCCGAUUGGGGAUUCCAGCUCAAGUGGGGCAGUUGGCGCAUCAGAUCCAGCAGAAUCAGAAGAUAAUGAGGCCUUUAUUGCAAUUCUCUUCUUUUGAAUAUGAAAAGAUGCACUUUUCAGUCCUAAUCUGGGAUGUGAAAAUGAAAGGAACCCCUGUUUAGCCAACAAAACAAAGUAAAAUUCAGUUACAACACUUACCCAAAUAUAGCAUUCUACCUUUAAUUUUUCUCAUCAAGACAAAAUUGAAUCAGUUAUGAAACCGACCACAUAAAAGGCUGUUUUUCUAGAGUUGCAAUGUUAGGAAUAAAAGUCACAAUGGUAUGUGGUCGGUUUCAUAACUGAUUCAAUUUUGAUGAGUAAACAGGUUAGAUUUCAUAUGGUUGUUUGUUCAGAUUGGUAUUCAUCCUGAUUUUCCUUCAAUUAUGCAACAACUAUGCUGGAAUUUGCUAUGUUCCAUACUCGGAUUUUGAAUUUAUCGGAAAAUUGAAUAAUUAAUCUGGAAAAAUACCAUCUUUGAAUGAUUUUUUUGUCAUCUGUAGAUAAGGAAUACCAUCUUUGGGUAAUUAGUUUAUCUAGUCUACAUGAUUAAAUUAAUGGACAUAUAAUUCUCUAUUGAUAGAACAAAAAACAUUGCUUUGUAGUGAAGAUAAGGAAUACCAUAUUUGGGUAAUUAGUUUAUCCAUACUCGGAUUAUGAAUUUAGCCCACCAUCAGCAGGGGAUUGCUGAGUUUUAUGUGACCAUAAUGCCCUUUCGGUUUGUAGUGAAGAUCCAAGCAUGUAAUUAAUAACACCUCUAAUUAAUUAAUUAAUUAAUCCCCUAAAACUAACUAUGGUUAAAUUAAACUGGUGGUAGGUGCCAGUGUACAUAGGGGCACAUAUGGUCAAAUAUGUUUUAAUUAUUAGUCUAAUAUCUUUUGAUACUUAUCAAUAACAACAAAAUAAUGUAAAAUCGUGUGAAUACAAUUCAAGGGUAUAAUGGUCUAGACAGAGAUUAUUUUUAUUAAAGAUAUUUAUUUAUUAAUCAUCAGAGAAGAAGGAAUUAAUAUGAAAGAAUCACUUACUGCAAAAUAAUCUUCAAAUGUAAAAUCAACAUAGCCUAAGCCCUGAUUUUUAUUUCACCACAGGUUGGCGAGCUGGCGGGAAUAGCUUUGGGAGCAACUGUCAUGCUUAAUAUUCUUAUAGUUGUGUACGUUAUGGUCAAAAUAGUUCAGCAAGAACCUCUGUUGAAAUGAUAUAGGCCACUAAUUAUUUAAAACUAUCACUGGCUCCUCAUUAUGGUCAAAAUAGUUGGUCUGUUAAAAAUUGUGACUAUGAGCAAUUUGCCACUUCUAAAUGGGUUCUUUGUAGUUUUCCUUUCUAUAAUUCAGGAAAUAGGAUCAUAUUUUACUCUUGCAGAAAUAGUUAUGGUCUGUGAGCAUUCUUCCAGAUUGUAAGAACGUAAUUUUCAACACAACAAAGGUGAAAUUAUAUCUAUGUUUUCUUGUGUAUUUAACUUCACAGGAGCUGAAACAUGAUCUAAUUUUUUUUAUCUAUUGGUUAUGUUGAAUAUGGAUAAAAGGUUGUGGCUCAGAAAAGUGUUGGUGAUGCUUCUACAUUUGUUGAGAGUGAAUUUUCACUGUCAAAUUCAAGUUGGAUUUGGUAUGUAGAAAAAGUGUGUGUUUAGAGUAAGGACUUUUUCCUUGUUGGACUGUAAUAGUAGACCAAUAUGAUUCGUUUUAUAAAACCCUUAGACAGAUCACAGUUGGUUCUGCAAUUGCAUGGUCAGGUAAACAUUCUAAACACAUUUUCAAUUUAUUUUGUGAUAUUUAAUUUCUCCCAUAUUCUUUUAAAUUAUAUUAUAAUAUGCUUAUAAACACUACUUUCCUUUCAUGUAGCCAAAAAAUUGUCCCAAAGUUGACUGAGGUACUUUGGACAAAAAUACAAUGUUAGCUUACAUCUUUAUUAGUUAAUAUAAUCAAAUUUCUAAUUUUAGGUGCUAACUGAUACGCGUCCGCAAGUUCAGUCUGCAUGGCAGACAACACUCCAGCAGGUUUGACUAUAUUCUUAUGGGUUGUGGCAUUCACAUUCCCAUAGUGAUCUUGAUAAAGUUGCUUCUAUUUCCAUGCUAAGUUGGCUUUUAUUUGUAAUAUAGGAGGUCCAAAAUCUUGCAAAGAAGGCUGCAGAAACUGUGGUGUUGGUAAUUGAUGAUGAAGGGACUGAGUAUUUGAUAUCAGAACUUCUCAAGUUGCUUCUAUUUCCAUGCUAAGUUGGAUUUUAUUUAUCUUACUGUUUAUUAUCAUUUUUUAUAUAAAAUUUCAUCAUUUAUAUUAUAUAUAUAGUACAUUAUAGACUUUGCAUCAUAAUUUGUUGAAUGUUACAAGAUAUAAUUCAAAAUUCAAUUUCCUCAUGUUGUUGCUGAAAUGACAGCAAUUGGUUUUGGCCUACCAAAGAAUGCAUUCACCGCUUUAAUGAAGAAUGUAAGUGUUUAUUUUUCUUUUCUGUUUGGUGAAAAUCAUCAAAUGACAAUCUCAUUAUAUAUCUUAGGAUCUUAUCAGUUAAUAAACUUGAUCGUGGGUAUGAUCAAGCAUAGGUUUACAUUUAUACCCCUGCUUUUAUCUUUUAUCUUUUAUGUUAUAUAAUUAUAUUCCCCCUUUUUUUAUCAGGUUAAUUUGGUGGUUAAUUAUGAUCUUCCUAUAAGACAUGAUCAUCAAUCUCACUACAAGAAAAAUACCCUUUUACGACGCGCAAAACACGACGCUCUUUGAUUUAUGUUACGCAUUAGAGAGCGACAUUAAAAAAGUGUCAUCUCUUAAAAAAUUUUAAGGAUUUAGGUCGCGCAUUACUGAGUGCCCUUAAAUUAGUGUCUCAUGUAAAAAUAUUAAAAACACGGAAGGCACUUGUGCGUCGUCUGUGAAUGUCGUUUUAUAUUUUUUUUUAAGAAACACGCGUCUCGGAGGGAAAAUGAAAUCCCCAAAUUUUUUAAACCCCCACCUUUUUCUCCCUCGUCUCCACCCCUCAUCCACAUCCACUACCUCCGAUCCUCAUUUCCUCUUCUAGCCUCAAACUACGGCGAUGCACCUUCCUUCUCGAAGAAUGCUUCAUUUACCACCAUCGUCCGAUUAUGUGAGCCCAAGGAAUUGACCAAGACGAAGAAGAUAAUGGAUCAAUUGCUUCACAUCAUGUUUAAGGUUAAGGGUUUGAGUUAGUCCGCAACAGGUAAUCGAAUUUUGCCUAAUAUAUAUUUCUACUCUCAAACUGUUUAUUCGUCCGAUUGGAUGCAUAUUUACUAUUAAAUUUGGGGAUUUUCUUUUAAAACCCCCGCGCCUCUUCUUGUUUGUAGCUAAACAACCGUGAAUUUGUUAGAGUGAUUGGAAGAGGAAAAAUAGAAGAUAGAAGAAAAAGAAGAAGAAGAAAAGCGAACAAACGGGAUUUCUUGACCUGAUGUGUUAAUCCGUGAUCAGGUCUUCUGAGCGAAGAGAAGAUCUGAGGCUCAAUUGAAGAAAUAUGAGCGCUUCUAGAUUUAUAAAGUGCAUCACAGUCGGUGAUGGCGCUGUCGGGAAGACUUGUCUCUUGAUUUCCUACACCCGUAACACCUUCCCCACGGUAAUCAUCUCUUCAUCAACCGCCUUCAGUUUCUGCCCAACUAAAGCACGGUUACACACUUAUUUCUCUUCGGACGUUUCUGUGGCUUCCAUGGGAACGGAGGAGGAUGAUAUAAAUGAGGCAACAACUUCAUUCGCUACAUGUUUGAACCUUAAAUUGAAGGGAUUAUAUAUUGAAAUUUGAAUCUACAACUUCGAAUUUCAGUCAUCUCUCUUCUCUUCUACAUCUCACCUGAUUCUCUAUUGAAAUUUCUAGGGUUUUUAAUUGAACCUACAUCUUCAUCUUAAUCUUCUUUUCUGAAGUUAGGGCUUUUUUCUUAAGAACAACUAAUUUUUUGCAGUAAGUAAACCUCUAAUUUUUUCAUUUCUCAUUUCCUUAGACCUCUCCCCUUUCCAUCUCAUAUCGAGGCAAAAUCAAUUUCACUUUGGUGGCUUCGAUUUCCUAGCACAUAUUAUGUUAUUAUAUGGAUUUGUAGGAAAUUAGAAAUCAUGUUAGAAUGUUUGAUGUUCUGUAUGUUCAUAAAAGUACAUCUAAAACAAAAAUCUUAGAUUAAACAAAACUGAAGCAUUUAAUGAGAUGUAAUUACUAACUUUUGUUGGAGAUGCAAAUGCUAAAUAAAGAAAACUGAAGCAUUAAAUGAGAACCUUUAUAAUUCGAUUUCAUUCAGAUCUUCGGUGGAUAUUUAGGGCUAACAAAGAAAACUGAAGCAUUUAAUGAGAUGUAAUUACUAACUUUCGUUCAAGGUAACCCCUGUUAUGAAUACAUGUAAGAAUUUAUUUAUCUUUUUCUCUCACCACUUGCUAUCCAUGUGCUGCUCUCUCAUAGUUGAUAUCUAACAACAAAGACCUGAUCAGUCUAGUUUGCUUGUUUUUUUUCUUUUUCUUAUAAUUCUUGAAUACGUGCAGAUUUUUUAAGACUUCUAGUUUUGUUUUUUGUUCAGUGAUAUUGAUGAUGAGGCAAGUUUAUCAACACUAUGGGAGAGAUAUCAAAGUGUCUCUGAAAAGGUAUUGCGAUAUCAAAGCAUAAAUUAUUUAUGGAUUAAAAUGGGAAAAUGACUUAUAUGGGUAAGAAAGUUUUAAAAACUUUUAAAAAUGACUAUCAAAGUAUUGUUUGUAUAAAAAACACCAACCAAGUUUACCAUUUUGUCAAAUCUAACAGGUUGGUAACCUGCAUCUGCCGGUCAAAAAAAAUUACCUGAUCAUUUUAAAAACUGAAAUUAUAAAUGACAUGGCAUCCUUUUUUAGUCUUACGUGGAUUAAUUGCAAGGGAAGAUCCAUUUUCUCAGCGUUCUUUCUCAAAAUCAGGAGGGAGUCAACACAGAACCCUCUCUAGGGUUAGUUUCUGCCCCUGUAUACAGUUAUUUUUGUUUAAAUUGACUGAUUUUAACAGUUGACGAAUAUGCUCCUGCUUUGGGCUAAUCACACAUAUGUCUUUUUUAUGACCAAAUUGCCCCUGUAUAUAGUUUUUUUUUGUUACAAUUGACUGAUUUUACCAGUCAAUUAAGGUGUUGUUUAGAAACUGUUAGUAUCCAAGACCAUUUACAUGCUCGUGCACAAAGACGAAUUUGCCCUUGAUUGUGACCAAACUGCCCCUGUAUACAUAUUUUUUAUUACUAAAAACACCCCCUGUCCUAGAAAAAUAUGACACUUCUAUACAAAAGCUAAUACCAAUUUCUCACUACAAAUCAACUAAUAAGAAAAGAAGUGGGCAACUCUCUAAAAUGACCAAAAUUUGAAUUGCAGUGUCACAAAUUGACAAUUUUUUAAAGCUAUAAUGAAAUAAUGCUUUGUUUUGUAAAAUAUACAAAAUCCGUUUGUUGUUGUGUGCAACUAAUCCACAAACAUUUACAUAAUUCUCGUUAGUGUACUUUGCAAAGUGGUGCUGAAGUAAUUUGGGCAACAAAAGUACAUAUAACUAUAUUAAUAUUCUCUAAAUAAUCAUAUAUAAUGAAAUAAUGGUUUGUUUUGUAAAAUAUACAACCCAUACUGUAUUUUUGAUAAAAAAAAAUAAUGAUUUUAAGAGAUUUUGUCCGAAAUACCCUUAUAUACUCUUUUUUUUGGUAAAAAAUUAAUGAUGUAAUAGUUUUUGACUAAAAUGCCCGUAUAUACUAUUUAACAGGUUUGACCCCAUCUGAAUUAUGAUUCAGCUUAAAAUUGAAUGCCAUUUUGACAAUUUUAUUGCUUUUAAGACUAUUUACUGCUGAAAAUAUGUCAAAUUUGUUACAUUUUGCUGCUAUAAAUAGUCAAAAAAUAACUAAAAGUCUACAAAGAUUCAAGGUAACAGUAAAUAAUACUGGCAUUUCCAGCAGCAAAUCUUCAAUUGCAGGGACUAAACUUUGUCAUUUUUAGCAGAAAACUUUAUCAACCAACAAAAAGAGGUUAAUAAAGAAUCUAAAUGGCAUUCCAUUGUAACAGCAUCAAAACACGACCUGCACUCAAAACCCUCCAAAAUAGCCCCUACACUCAAUUGUAACAGCCCCUCUGUUGUGAUUCCUUUAACUGUGACCAAAUUGCCCCUCUAUUGUGAUUCCUUUAGAUUCAAGGUAACAUUGUUUUAAGUGAAAAGAUCAUUUCAUAACUUGUUUACAUAAAUUCUUUCUUAGCUUGUUUACAUAAAUUCUUUUUCUGUCAAUUCCUUUCAAGACAAAAAGAAAGAAAGCAGGAACUUAUAGCCAUGCAAGUAAUUUCAUUAUUUUUCUCAUUAACGAUUGUACUUCCUUUGCUCUUUCUUGCAUAAUAAUAAACAGAUUUAAAGAGGAGUGGAGCCAUAUGACCACCUGAUGCCCCCAAAUCAAUUUAUUUGAGCUAGAUUUGAACGAUUUACAAGGAGAAGAAGAAAAUCAAUUGUCAAGAGGAGAGGAGAUGUAUGACCACCCACCUGAUGCCCUAAAUCGAUUUAUAAUAUGUAUUUUUCAUUUAAUGCUGAGUAGAUGUGCAACACACUACCUAAAUAUGCCAACUAAUCAUUACUUUUGCCAACUCAGCCGUUCACCUGGAGAUCCGGUUACCACCGGGUCAUAUUUGAACAAAAGAUAAACUUCGUUGGUAUUUUUUGUACGACGCCUAUAGUUAAAUGGUAUUUUUGAACAACUAAAACUUCAAUGGUUUUUUUUGAAUGUUUUUGAAACUUUCUUACCCUUAUAAGUCAUUUUCUCGAUUAAAAUUGAACUUUUUUCAUACAUUACCUAACAUUGACUUGUCUUAAUUUGCAGGCAGAAAUACAAAAGGCUUUUCAUAUAUUUCUUAAACAAUUUUUUGUAAUAUACAAGAAUUGGGAGCCAUUAGAUUUAGAUAAUUCCAUAGAACCUUUCAUUGAUUCAAGGGAUCCUCUUUCUGAAAAAAAGAUUGCAGUGGCAUCAGAAGGCAGUCAUAUCAGUGAUGGAAGCUGGUGGUCUUAAUUGGUUAGUAGGUAAGGUAUGCAUCUUCAGAUUUAAUUUCUAUUGAGAACUAAACACAUUUGAAUAUCUGAGAACUAAACACACUUGAAUAUUUAUAAAUGAUGCACACAUCCAAAGGGAUAAUAGCAAUGUUUCUAAUGGCGUCAAAUAGACCUGAUUGUGACCACUAAUGGUUCAUCAGGUUUGUUGAUUUUUAUUUUAUUUUAUUUGAAGUGCAUUAUCUGGUUUAAUAUGAAAUGAUUCAUGUUGAAAUUGGUUUCUUUUGUUACUCCAUAAUACUUGAUAUCUUAUUUUUUGCAUGCAGGUGCUAACAAAUAUGGUGUCAUUAUCAUUGUUGUUGUUGUUGUUGGAUACGGAUAUGUUUGGUGGAAGGUAAAUAUAAGCUCAUAUAUUAAUAUUAUUACUUUUUACAGUUAACUUGUACAUAGUUUUUCUUCAACUAACAGAAAUGGUAUCAUUAACAGGGUUGGAAACUUCCUGAUAUGAUGUUUGCUACAAAAUGAAGUUUAUCUGAUGCCACAUAUGCUUUAGCUAAAUAGAUUGACACUGUUUACUCAUCACUUGCAGUAAGUUAUUUAAAAACUUUGUUAUUUUUUUGUUAUUAAUUUGGGUUGUUUAUUAUGUUGUUUAGGCUACCAAGAGACAUUUAUCUACAAGGAUUGACCGUGUUGAUAGUAGUUUAGAUGAGGUUGCAGAAAUUACUGCUGCUAAAAAAGAGGAGGUAUGACAAGAUAAAGGUUGUUCUAGAUGUUUAAUCUAUACAUAAUGCGGUUUACACCCUGGUGUGGUUCUUUUCCAUUUUGUCUUGUGACUUUGAUAUUGUUUUCUGAGUUGGAUAUGUGGUAUGAUAAAUUAUUUUUACAUGAGAGUAGGCUGAGUAGGGUUGAAUUGAAAUAGGUACUGAAUAUUACCGUUUGACAUGCGAUUUUUUCUAGCUUAAUGAGAUAUUUAUAACAAAUAAUUUUGAAUUUUUGUUGUCUUUUGUAGGGAAAUCCAUCAAGUUCAUCAAGGCCAGCUCUUGAAUUACCAUAGAGAGUAAACUUCUAAUCUUAUACAAAUACAAUGAUUUGCUAAAUUCAAGAAAUAACAAUGCACUUUUAUUUAUUACUUUUAUUAAAACAUCCUAGUUUAAUUUCUAGCUUAAUGAGACAUUUAUUACUUUUAGCAGAGAUCGAUAUAUAUAUGAGCUUUUUGCUUUCAAACAUUGUUGGGGAAGAAUGUUGAAACUUGCUCUUUGUGAAGGUAAUUUUUUUUCUUAAUGCAUUAUCCUCUAUAUUCUUGAUAUUUUUCCCACUUUUUAAAUCUUUUAUCAAAUUCUCACUUUUGGAUACAGUGCUUGAUGAGAGAAUGUGUGACCUAAAUCUUUUAUCAAAUUCUCACUUUUGGAGUUGGCCAUAAGAAAAUGUAGGCAAAGGGUAAUUUGUUAUAGUUCAGGUUGACAAGGUGCUGUAUUUUUCACAUAAUUGACAAGGAGCUGUUGUAUCUAUUCAGACUAGACUUAGAGCAAUGGUUGCAAGAGAUGAGUUCAGCAGAAAAAGAAACAAGGCUGCAACUAUAGUUAAGGUACUAUGGAUGAAUUAUGUUUGUAAAGUAUUUAAGAAAAUGAUUAUAAACAAGGGUGAAUUUGUACAAAUUAGUUAGCUACUUGCANUGAGUAUUUGAUAUCAAAACUUCUCAAGUUGCUUCUAUUUCCAUGCUAAGUUGGCUUUUAUUUAUCUUACUGUUUAUUAUCAUUUUUUAUAUAAAACUUCAUCAUUUAUAUUAUAUAUAAUACAUUAUAGACUUUGCAUCAUAAUUUGUUCAAUGUUACAGGAUACAAUUCAAAAUUCAAUUUCCUCAUGUUGUUGCUGAAAUGACAGCAAUUGGUUUUGGCCUACCAAAGAAUGCAUUCACCGCUCUAAUGAAGAAUGUAAGUGUUUAUUUUUCUUUUCUGUUUGGUGAAAAUCAUCAAAUGAAAAUCUCAUUAUAUAUCUUAGGAUCUUAUCAGUUAAUGAACUUGAUCGUGGGUAUGAUCAAGCAUAGAUUUACAUUUCUACCCCUGUUUUUAUCUUUUAUCUUUUGUGUCAUAUAAUUAUAUUUCCCUUUUUUUAUCAGGUUAAUUUGGUGGUUAAUUAUGAUCUUCCUAUAAGACAUGAUCAUCAAUCUCAACCUGACCAUGAAGUGUAGUUGCACUGAAUCGGAAGAGCAGGGUGAUUAUGGGAGAUGUUAAGUAGUUAUAGGGCUUUAGAUGCUUUCCCUUUGGGUAGGAAAUGUUUUUAAGACAUGAUCAUCAUUCUCUACCCCUGCUUUCCCUCUGGUGUUUAUCUCCCAUAAAACCCUAAAAUGUGGAUGUGCUAAAACUGAAGAAAUUAGAAGACACAUACUGGAUUUUAGCAAGUCGGGUAAGUUUAAAAAUAUCUUAAUACGAUAUUGAUUAGAUUACACAACAUGUAAUGUAGAAAAUAUCAUGAAUAUUUAUGAUCAAUAUUCAACUUUUGAAAAUGUAUCCAGUUUGAUGUUUAUCUAUUUGACAUUUUUUUGAUAGAAAAUGAGAAUACCGGAGAAGAUGAACCACAAAUUUACAUUGAAAUGAUCAAUGGAAUUAUCAAAUCCCUUCAGGUAUCAUCUCAUAUCACUUGCUUAUGAAAUUUAUUCAUCUAUACUUGAAAAGAUAUAUUUAUUUUUGUGUUGUUUCCAGGCUAUCCUUGAUGCAGUUCUCAGCACAACAAUUAUGAUUUUAUGAUGUUAGGCUAAACUAUAAAGCAAUCAUUCUUUGUUUUAGGAAACGUUUCAGAGCUUCUUUAGGCAGCUUAAUGAUGAGUUAUUGAAACAAAAUGGUGCCCCUUUAUAGCAAUGUAGUAUUAGGUUAUAUAGAUAGGAAAAACCUCUUAAUAACAACGUACAAUUAGAUCCCCUUAAUAUCAAUGUAUUACAAUUUUAUGACAUGAUGUUAUUGAAUGAAAUUGAUUGUGUAAUGGAUUGUAUUUUUUGUAUAUGGUAUUUUAUUUUCUAUUAUGAGACAUGAAAUGCAAAUUUAAUUUGAAAAUUAGUAAAUCUAUAAAUAAUUUUUAAAAAAAAUAAAAUAAAAAUUAUGAUACGCAAAAAUGUGUGUCAUCUUCAUUUAUGACAUGGCCUUUCUUGACAGUGGCUUUAAUGAUACGCAUUGCGUGUCAUAAAUACGUGUCGUCUAUAGACGACGCGCAAAAGCGCGUCGUCUCUCGUUAUGACAGGGCCUUCCUUGACGCGCAUGCGCGUCGUCUGACCGUUUUACGACUCGCAAUGAGCGUCGUAAAAGGCAUUUUUUCUAGUAGUGUUUGAGACAAGAAAUCAGAACCAAUGUACCUUCCGAGCUCGCUACUUGGCGCGUUAGACCGAGCUCGUUUGGAAUUUUCAUUCCUCAAAGUAUUAUAAAGCCUAAUUGUUUCGUUAUUUUAGUGAAAAGUGGAUCCGGGUGCCCCCAUAUUUUGCAUCACGUCAUGAAUGUUUGUUGAACCAUAUUUUGUUAAAUAAACUUCAAAUAAAUUUUGAAAAACUUUGUUAAAUUUUGAAACUUCCUUUGAUGCAUAAUCAAUGUCAUCAUCCAAUAAACCCAAAUCGUAACAAAUAUUUUCAAUUAAAGUCUCAACCCCCCCAACAUUUAGAGUUGGAUUCAAAGUGGCGGAACAAGUAAUAAUGGGAGCCAUUUCUUGAAAAUAUUUUUUUAACUUUGCUUUCAUCGGUUUCAUCAUAUUAGCAAACAUUGUGCUCCUCAUUUCAAACUCAUUUAUUUUCGCACACAUUAAAAAAAUUUGGUUUAAAACUAAACAACUUGUAGGAUAAUAAACCCCCGAUAAAAAAGUGGUUGUUUUUUUUUUAAAAAAACAUCAAGCAUGUCUGUAACAAGUUUGAUAGUAUCCCAACUUGAUUCCGGAUAAGCCGUAACCUUAUUACGGUCCGAAGGUUGUCAUGUAACAUUUUUAAAGUAUGUUUUUGACGUAAGGCACAUUCAAAAAUUUUGCAAGUGGAGUCCCAUCGGGUAUUAUUUUCCCAAUUCAGACCUAAAAAGAGGGCAUUCGCAUCGACACAAAAUUGCAUAUAAUUAUGAUAUCGAGCGUUACUAGAACUAAAAAUAUCUUUUAGCAUGUCUUUGAAACCAUCUUUUAUAGUUUCAAUGUGAGUUAGUCCAUCUUGCACAACCAAAUUAAUCAUAUGUGCAACACAUCGACUAUGAAAAAUAAACACCAUCACAAAUUGGUUUAUAUUUUAGUUUUAGUUGUCCAACCGCGACGGUGUUGUUUGAAGCAUUAUCAAAAGAUAUAGAAAAAAUCUUUCCUUCAAGUUUAUAAGUUUUGAUCACACAAUCUAAAAUUUUAAAUAAAUUUCUAUCGGUGUGCGGGUACUCAAACAAUUCAAACGUAAUCGUAUGCUUUAUCAUUACCCAAUUAGUUGGAUUAAUCCAAUGAGCGGUAACACAAAGGUACGCAUCCGGUGAACCGUCAGGAGCCGUCCAAACAUCACAAGUUAAAUUCACACCGGUUUCUAAAGAUUGAAAUCCUAAAAUCAAUUCAUUUUUUGCAAGUUUCCACAUUUCAAUACAAUCGCGUCUAAUAGAAGUACGACUCACAUGGCAAUAUCGUGGUUGGAGAGUAUCUUGGAUGAGUGAAGUCAAUCGUUUGUUGUCGAAGUGGUCAAAAGGCAAGCAUUCUUGAAUCACGAACUUCGUCAUCCUAUCCCGAACUUUAGCCAUAUCGUAACUCCACAAUGUUGCAUCAUUCGUCAUUCUUGUUUGAAUAUGUCCCGACCCAAAUUUCACCGUGGGGCAUCUUUUGGUCAUAUGAUUUUUCAAUGUCGAAUUCUCAUCUUCAUUAAAAAAAGCACCACAUUUCUUGCAUUGCGCUUUUUUAUACCGUUCGACAUUACACACAAAUCGUAGUUGCACAAAAUAGCCGGAUUUCUAUUUGUUUCUUUGAUGCUAACAACGGUAAGAGUGUUUGAUGAAUCUCGAACACCAACGGAAGCCGAAUCCAUUGUUUGAAUUAAGAGUGGUUUUUGAACUAAGAGAGGUUUGCGGUUUUUGAACUAAGAGAGGUUUUUUGAGGUUUGGUUAAGGUAAAGUUGAGACCUAAAAAUGUAAUACAUAUAUAUAUACUAUAAGGAAUAGUUAAUAUGGUAAAAAAGAAGCAAAAAUCGAGUCUUGAACAGCCUCAAACGACUAUAUAGCCGUUAGGAAAAGACAAAAAAACGGUAACAUUACAAAAACCGGUUCACCAACGGCACUUUCGAAAUCUGGUUCAAAACUGGUUCAUCACACCUGUUCAGAAUAAACCAGUUCCAAACCGGUCUCCAGGGUAAAACAUGCGAACUGGUAACAUCCGAUGGUUCGGUUCACUAUGGGUUCGGUUCUUAUGUGAACCGGUUCAAGGCUAAACCGGUUUCCGGUUCACCAACCGGUUCGGUUCCUAAACCAGUUUUUUUGCCCACGCCUACCACUAGCUAGUCUAGGUGGGCUUUUAGUACGGGGGUUUUCAUGAGGAAUAGGUUGAAAGGAGUGUUGGCAUCUCACUGCCGUCAUCUGUUACCAUUUCAUAAGGAGUGGUAGCAUUCCUAGCACAUUAGAUUUUUUUUUUUUGAUUUUUUUUUUUGAACUUAAAUAAAUUAUAUUUUUAUAAAACACAAACAAUUCAAUAUUAAUCAAGAAACUAACUACAUUUUAUAGAUAAAUUUACCUUAUUUAAACAAGGAUUAAUAGAAAGGUCAAAUAAAAUUUAAAUGGUUAACGACAUGCUUAAAAUUUUACAAAUAUAUUGAUUUUGUAACGACACAAUUUUCUACUCUAUCAAGGUAAAGAAACAUUUAUGUUAAUAAUAAAGUGACACUUUAAUAUAUAUCUUCAAAUAAUUAUUAAAAAUAAAUAAUACUAUAAAAAAUUACCAAUACUAUCUAGAAACAAAAACCACUCACAGCACGGAAUUUACAAAACAACCAUCCAACUUCCUUAUUUUUUUGAAAGAGCUUUUACGAUCUCCAUUUCCAUUUCCUUUUUUUCUUAAAAUUACAUCUUACAUCUUCCAAUUUGCUAUUAUCAUUUCUUAAGUUUGUGAAAGUAGACUAUUCCACAAAACUACUCCUCCAAUUGUGUGAAACACGAAGCAAAAGCGAGACCUUUGAGCUUUUUCUUAAAAAAUAAUCCUUGUUUGAGAUGGAGACCACACCAUUGAUGGGAGAAAUGAAGGUUCUAGAGAACGAUUGUAAGAGGAAGAUUAUUGUAUCCACAGGCCAAUAUCCAACAAAUCUCUUUCUCUUUCUUCUCGCUAUGGUGUUGACGAGCCAUGGCUGGCGACUUCCUUGGCGCAAGCCAGGGGGCGGCCUUCAGCGCCCUUGGCGACCGGUGGCGACCUCCAUAGCGAGGCCCACUCCCUAAAGCCUUAUAACACACCAUUUAUUGACCAAGUUUACCCAACAAUGCAUCCCAAUUCAUUAGAUUUGUCUUAUCAUUAUACUUUUUAUACAAUUUCAUCAUUUUUCUAUAAUAUAUUAAAACUCUAUGAAAAUUCAAAAGAAUAUACUUUUGAAUUUUCAUAGAAUUUUAUUAUAUUAUAGAAAUAUGGUGAGAAUCCUAGAUGCUUUUAUCUCUCUUUCAGACUUAAAAGCCAGUAUGCGUUCAAUAAGUACGUGGCCAACUCCGGACCUAGCUUUUGCGAACGUGGGACGUUCACUUCGGAUAGCCUCGAAAUGAGUACCUCUUACUUUAAAAAUUUAUAACUUUGGCAUACGAGCUCCGUUUUCGACAUUCACUUUCAUUUAGACUCUGUUUGCUAAUUUUGAUUUUUAUUUUUAAAUUUAUAUUUUUUAACAGGCCGGGACUGGAAAAGCCCGUUAAAAAUUCAUAACUUCUUCAUCCGACGUUCGUUUUCGUAUGACUUUUUACCAUUAAACUACUAUCGACGAGAUUUUUGAUUCUCAUUUACAUUGUGUUGGAUAAAAAUCGCUCGAUCUAUACUUCGAACUACGGGCUGCACAAUGUUAUGCCAAAUCUUAGAAAAUUCAUAACUUCCUCAUACGAAGCUAGAUUUGGAUUUCUUUUUUAUGCACGCUCUUGGUUUAACGUAUACUACGAUUUUCAUUUAGAUUGCUAAGGCUAAAAAACACUUUAUCGUAAACUCACUUUUCACGUCACACAAUGUCAUGUCAGUUUUGUCGCGAAACUUCGAUAUGUCAUAAAUUCUUCGUGAUCAGGGCCGAUCUUGAAAAAUGAAAUAUUCUUGGAGCCCCAGGACGAGCAAGAAAAAAAUGGCCCUUAUCUUUAUUAUAAUUUUGUAAUUUUAAAUAAAAAUAUAUAAUGAAAAAAAUUAGGCCAUGUGCAGCUGCCCACUUUGCCUCCUUCUAAGCCCCCAUUGUUCAUGAUAACUCGGAUUUCAGCGUUCUUUAUAUUUCUGGAGUCCUUGUCACGACCACUACAACUUUCUUCAUAGAUAUCGGGUUUAUAUAACAUUUUAUUUUUGACGCUUAUUUUUAUUCUUAAUUAAUUAUAUCAUUAUAAACAAGUAUAUAAUCACAUAAAAUCACGUAAUUCACAUAAUACUCAAGUAAUUCAUCUUUAUUACAUUAAAAUAGGUUACAAUGGUUGACCUUGACUAUUACAUCAUCAUACUAAUGUGAAACAACCUAAAAUACGACCCAAUUUUUUUUUUGUUAAAAUAAUACUAAAGAUAUCAACCAUCAUAAUAUAUCAUGAAAUCGUACGUCAUAAAUCCCCAAAAAGUUAUAAUAGAUAUGUCAUGACAAAAGAGUUGUAUCAACAUACCAUAGUAUCUAAAAUAAACUCCCAGGACAAAAGUUGAAACUGUGGUGUGUGCAAUGUCAUCAUCCUGAGCUCUUUCCUUUGCUUGCGGAAAUACCUGAAACCAAAACUGAAACUGUAAGCACAAAGCUUAAUGAGCUCCCCCAAACUACCACAUACCAUACAAUAGCAUAUACAACACAUACUAGGCCUUGCCCACUGCAUCGGACCGAAGUCCGGAAAUUGCAUCGGACCGAAGUCCAGAACUAACCAAGGCCUUGCCCUCUGCAUCGGACCGAAGUCCGGAACUACAUCAGACCGAAGUCCGGAAACUAACCAGGGCCUUGCCCUCUGCAUCGGACCGAAGUCCGGAACUAACUGCAUCGGACUGAAGUCCGGAACUGACUGCAUCGGACCGAAGUCCGAAAUUGUCUGAACAUAACAUAUCAUAAACAUCUCAACCAGUAUGAACACAUAAACUGCAUAUCGCAUCAGACCGAAGUACGAAACACAUAACACAAAUACAUGCUUGAAUCACAAAGACAUCAAGCAUUCUAAGUACUGCAACGGACGGAGGUCCGAAACUUCUGCUAACUAAACCGACCGGCAUUGUAGCCGUAGACCCGUUCCUACUGGAAGGAAAACUCACCUCGUAAUGCUGGCUGCUGAGAUGCUAACUCUAAAAGUGACUGACCGCUGCUUCGGAACUGUCCGACUACAAAUCCCAGAAACACUAGAUUAGUUACUUGCAUAUACCCUCAGGGUAAGAUGACUAUUUUGCCCCUGGUCAAAGUCAACUUCUAGUUGACCGGACUCGCCGACUAUGGGCGCAGAACCGCCGAGUCCCUCCUUUACUAACUCUGACUUUAACUCACCGAGUCCCUUUCCCACUCACUGACUCUCUCUGAACUCGUAGGUCGAAGAAAAAAGGGGACUCACGACUCGACUCGUCGAGUCUGAAGAACAACUCGCCGAGUCCUGCCGUGCAUAUUCCAAACAAACGAAUUCAAAACUAUUCCAGAGCAUCUGACUUGAAGAUCUGAGCCCUUGGAACUAUCUAAACACGUGAAGUUUCUAACUUUACGUGCAACUAAGAAGGAAUGAAGCUAUUUCACUCAAACACUACUUUUCUUGGGAAAACUCAUCCGACUCGCCGAGUUGUAUGAACAACUCGUCGAGUCUAAGGUGAUCUUCAUCGGACUCGCAGAGUUGCUCAUCAAACUCGUCGAGUCUACGACUAUCUUCAUAUGACUCGCCAAGUCACACAUGCGACUCGCCAAGUCCAUUCAGUCCCUUUUUCCAUACAGACCUGAUUUGGGCCAUGCAGUGGCUCCAAAUCACAGAUCCAAGAUUCUAGGGCAUGCUUAUCACGUAAAUUUGCAAACUUUACGUGCAUGCAUGGCUUUAAAGGCUUCAAAUGCCAACCCUAAGCUCUUAAUGGGGUUCCAAGCUCAAGAGGGACCUCAAUCACGACCAUAACCGAAACUUUACUCUUCUAGAAUGCAAUGAGAGUCUAGAUCUGAUGUUUCCAUAAAAGGGGAAGUCCAUCUCUCAAGUUUGAACCAUAAGAGGCUCCAAAGAGGGCAUAACAAGCAUAUAUGAGGUUAUAAUGGGGGAAUGCACAAGGUCAUAACUUCAUUACCUGAAUGAAAAACAGAUGUAAGCUAACUCCUAGAUUUUCCUUCCCUUCUAUGGACCUUCCUUCCUUCCCAAAGCUUCCAAGCUAUCACAAAUACCCUCAAACUCAACAAUGGGGCUAGGGUUUACAAGGGAAAUGUUAUGAGAGUGAUAGAGGCGAGGUUGGGGGCGCAUAAGUGUGUUUAAAUAGGGUGAAAACCCUUAAAAUUAGGGCUUCAUCCAGACAGGCGGACUCGCCGAGUCCAACGUAUGGACUAGUCGAGUAGCCAUCUCAAAACGCGUGAUCGUCCCGUCUCUACUUGACGAGUCAGGCUACAGACUCGUCGAGUACCCCUUCAGAAAUGAAAAUACUUUAUUUGAAUUACAUACCAGAAAUGGGGCGUUACAACUCUCCCCCACUUAUCUUAGACUUUGUCCUCGUAGUCUGCUGCUGCUGCUGAAAAUAACUCUGGGUAAUGCUCCCUCAUCUCCUACUCGGACUCCCACGUCCACUCUGAACCCUUUCGGUGCUGCCACAACACCUUCACUAGCUGAACCACCUUGUUCCUCAAGGUCUUCGUCUUCCAAUCUAUGAUCGCAACUGGUCUCUCGAUAUAAUUCAGGCUGCUAUCAACCUGAAUAUCCUCCAAGGGUACAACUGCUGACUUGUCCACCAAACACUUUCGCAACUGGGAAACAUAGAAAGUGUUGUGGAUCUGGCUAAGCUCUACCGGAAGAUCCAACCGAUAAGCAACCCGACCCACCCGGACCAAAACCCUAAAAGGGCCAAUGAACCUGGGACCCAGCUUGCCUCUCUUCCGAAACUUGAUAACACCCUUCCAAGGUGAUACCUUCAGGAGGACCAUAUCGCCCACCUGAAACUCCAAGUCCGAACGCCUCUUGUCGGUGUAACUCUUCUGCCUACUCUGUGCAGUCUGCAGUCUACUACGAACCUGCUGGAUCAACUCUGUGGUCUUGAGCACCAUUUCAGUGCUCCCAAUGACUCACUGACCAACCUCGCCCCAACAAAUCGGAGUCCUGCACUUCCUUCCGUAUAGCAUCUCGAAAGGAGGACGUUUAAUACUAGUGUGGUAACUAUUGUUAUACGGAAAUUCCGCUAGUGGGAGAUACGUAUCCCAACUACCACCGAAGUCUAGAACACAUGCCCGGAGUAUGUCCUCGAGAGUCUGAAUUGUCCUCUCACUCUGCCCGUCCGUCUGGGGGUGGAAGGCGGUGCUAAAAUGAAGACGAGUCCCCAUCUCGUCAUGAAACUGCUUCCAAAAUCUGGAAGUAAAACGGACGUCUCGGUCUGACACUACCGAAACAGGCACUCCGUGCUGUGCUACUACCUCGCGUACAUAGAUGUGGGCUAGCUUCUUAGCCGAUAUGCUCUCCUAGAUCGGUAUAAAAUGUGCGCUCUUGGUCAGCCGAUCCAUUAUGACCCAAAUCGAAUCCACUCCCCGUGCGGUCCUGGGAAGCUUGGUGACAAAAUCCAUGGUAAUGUCCUCCCAUUUCCAUAUGGGAAUAUCUAACGGCAGCAUCUUGCCGUGGGGUCUCUGGUGCUCUGCCUUGACCUUCCUGCAGGUCAGGCAUCUCCCCACAUUCCAGGCGACAUCCUGCUUCAUGCAGGGCCACCAAUAGUCGGGUCGAAGAUCUCUGUAGAUCUUCGUUGCCCCUGGGUGGAUGGAAAAUCAAGAAUUAUGAGCCUCGUCCAUCAAUACCUGCCAUACUCCGCCCCAGUACAGUACCCAAACCCUCCCAUGGAGGGUCAACAAUCGUUAACUGUCAUAAUCAAAGGAAGCUACUCGGUCCACGAUUCUCUCACACUUCUGCCUCUCCUCCUUGAGGCCCUCGACGUGUGCCUCCCUGAUCUGCUCCAACAAGGGAGUAAUCACUGUCAUCCUCAAGCAUACAUCCCUGAUCGGGGCCGCUGCCGUCUUGUGGCUCAGGGCGUCGGCCACUACGUUGGCCUUCCCCGGGUGAUAAAGGAUCUCACAGUCGUAAUCCUUCACCACAUCUAACCACCGACGCUGCCGCAUGUUAAGAUUCGGCUGGUCCAUGAGGUACUUCAGACUCUUGUGAUCCGUGUAGAUGGUGCAACGGACCCCAUAGAGGUAGUGUCUCCAAAUCUUGAGGGCGAACACCACUGCCCCCAACUCCAAAUCAUGCAUCGGAUAGUUAGCCUCGUGAGACUUCAACUGUCUGGAGGCAUAAGCUAUCACAUGCCCCCGUUGCAUCAACACUGCCCCCAUAUCUGCGAUCGAGGCAUCACAGUAGACUACAAAAUCAUCCACUCUCUCCGGCAAGGUCAGAAUCGGUGCCUCGCACAAUCGCUGUCUGAGAGUCUCGAAAGUCGCCUGCUGCUCAGGCCCCUAACGAAACACCACCGACUUCUUGGUUAGUCGGGUGAGUGGAACUGCUAUCUUGGAGAAAUACUGAAUGAAUCUCCUGUAGUACCCUGCCAAACCUAGGAAGCUCUGAAUCUAUGAUGGAGACUUUGGGACCUCCCACUGCAUCAUGGCCUCUAUCUUGGCCGGAUCUACCAGUAUACCCUUCUGGUUGAUGAGGUGCCUAAGGAAUUGCACCUCGCGCAACUAGAACUCGCACUUGGAGAACUUUGCUAAAAGUUUCUCCCUCCUCAAGACCUCUAGCACCUCCCUUAGGUGCUCCUCGUGCUGCUCCUGAGUCUUGGAAUAAACCAAGAUGUCAUCGAUGAAUACAAUCACAGACCGGUCCAACAUCGGCAUGCACACGCGGUUCAUGAGUUCCAUGAACGCGGAUGGAGCGUUGGUGAGCCCAAACGACAUCACCACAAACUCAUAAUGACCAUAACGGGUCCUAAAAGUUGUCUUCUGAACAUCCUCACCCCUGACCCGCAUCUGAUGAUAACCGGAGCGCAAAUCAAUCUUGGAAAACCAAGACGCUCCUUGAAGCUAAUCGAACAAGGCAUCUAUCCUCGGAAGUGGGUAACGGUUAUUCACCGUUACCUUGUUCAACUCCCAGUAGUCUAUGCACAUACGGUGCGACCCAUCCUUCUUCUUCACAAACAAGAUUGGGGCUCCCCAUGGAGAACUAAUUAGUCUAAUGAAACCCUUGUCUAGCAGCUCCUGCAGCUGCGUAUACAACUCCUGCAUUUCUGGAGGAGCCAACCGAUACGGCGCCUUGGCUAUCGGAGCCGCACCAGGAACCAAGUCAAUCUUGAACUCAACCUGUCUCUCUGAAGGUAUCCCAGGUAAUUCCUCUGGGAAUGAGUCCGGGUACUCUCGCACCACUGCUACAUCAUCUACUGUCAUCGUACUCUUAUCCCGGGUAUCCAUCACAUAUGUGACAUAACCUGCUUAACCCUGUUGGAAGUAGCGCCUCACUCUCACUGCUGAACAAAGAAUCGGUCCGCGUUGUGGGCUCUCGCCCUGAAUCACUAACUCUCCCCCGUUGGGAGUGCGAACCCUCACUAGCUGCAAUUCGCAAUCAAUCAUCGCCCCAUUGGGGCUCAACCAAUCCAUGCUUACUAUGGCCUUGUUCCCUCGCAAAGGAAUAGGGACCAUGUCCACCGAAAACUGCUCAUCGAAUAACUGCAGUGAGCAUGCCUUAUGCACCCUCGUGACCCUGACGGUCCUAUCAUCGGCUAUCUCCACCUCGAGUGGACAAUCCAGCUCCCUAGGAUCUCUGCUAAACCUCUUGCUAAGUGCAAGAGAGACAAACGAUCGGGUAGCCCCUGAAUCAAAUGACACUGUAGCUGAAAUGUCGUUCACUAAGAACGACCCUAUACAUAAACAUAUAACAUUAGAAACAAUCAAUAAUCAAUGCAUAGAUAAAAGGAAAAUACAUACCCGUCACCACGUCAGGAGUCGCUCGCGCCUCCUCUGCUGUUAUCUGAAAAGCUCUACUCUUCGCCACUGGCACCUCGGCCCGCCCCUGACGACCGUUCGUAAUCCUCAAUGUAGCAGGGGCAGGUGCCGACACCUUCCCUGCUGCUGCUAAGCUUGGGCACUGGGACUUUUUAUGUCCCCUCUGAUUGCAAUGGAAGCAAAUCAGAUCUGAUGCUGCGGUAGCUGUGGUAGAAACUGUACAAUCUCUGCUCAUAUGCCUAGUCCAACCGUACUUGUAGCAGCCGGAACUCCCUGCCUUGCACGCCCCAUCGUGUAAUCUCCCACACUUGCCACACCGACUGUGGCUCUGCUGACCUCUGGACCUAUGAUCCGAAACCUUGGGCUUCUUGCCCAAACUCCCUGUACCCGAAGCCGCCUCCGCCUUCCUCUUAUUCUCCAUCUCAAGAUCAAUCUCUCUCUCUCUCUCUCUCUCUCUCGCCCUUGCAAUCAUAUCAUCCAGCAUCUUACAGCUGGAUCGGCUCACAAACUGGCGGAUAUCACUCCGCAGCGUCUCAUGAUAACGGGCCUUCUUCAUUUCCUCGUCAGCUGCGUACUGAGGAACAAGAAGAGCCCUCUCCCUGAACUUGGCGGUAAUCUCCGCCACUGUCUCUAUAGUCUGAGUAAGGUCUUGAAACUCUCUAGCUAACUGUUGCACCUCAAUAGUCGGUGCGAACUCGGCUCUGAACCUGGUGGUAAAAUCAGCCUAAGUCAUAGUAUCAAGUGCUAUGUCAUCCCUGAUACCAUGCCCAACCUCCUCCCACCAGUCACAUGCCCUAUCCUUCAGGAGACAGGAUGCUAAUCUGACCUUGUCCCCUUCGGGACAUCUGCUAGUGCGGAACACGUUGGCAACAUCUGCCAACCACCUAGUGCUCGCAAUGAGGUCCCGCACCCCAUGAUAGCCUGGAGCUCCACAAGCCCGAAACUCCCUGAAGGUGAGUGUGCGCGACCCCAUCAUGGCCGCCAUCUCAGCACGAAAUGUGCUCAACUUCUCAUCCAUCAACUCCAAGAUACCCUCCUUGAUCGAACCGAAGAUCACAGGACUCUGCUCAAGUAUGAUACGGGUAACCUCUGAAGUGAAAAACUCCCUAGUUUGCUCAUCCAACUGCUCGGCCCCCCAGCCUGAUCCUGAUCCUUCCUCGGCACCUGAGCUGCCGACUGCUGGCCUAGGGCGUAAAACCACCAUUCUGAAAACACAUCAUGAUAAACGUCAAAAACACUGAUAUAUCUCUAGGGAUCGCUACUACUAUAGGUUUCCUGGUCUCGCCUCUGCCUUCCUUGAUUCAAGUACAAAUCCUCAACAAAAACCAGUCCUCAACUGCUGAAGGCCUCCUUGUAAUGCCAAUUAGUCAUCACCUGAAUAUCAUCACAUGUGACGAGACUCAGAUAAUCCUUCGAGUAAAAGACUCAUUCCUACAACGGAUGGACUCAAACAAGAGCUGCGCAGUAGAGCCAAAUCCAGCACUCUGAGAUUAUUCAACCCUGAUCUCAGGCGAUGUGUCGUAUUCACCUAAUGGUUAACUCUCAUUACCCGGAGUCUCAUAAAGCACAAAGCAAGCAGCAUUCGGACACAGGAAACUAAUCAAGCCACUCUAUUCUCAUAACAAGAAAUUGUACUAGCAUACAAUGUUAAGCUCGUACUGUCAGGCAUAACCUAAACAGGCUAUCCUACUGCUGUCUACUCAAUACUAGCAUGCAGUUCUCAUAAAGCUGAAGCACAUAUAGCAUGCACAUAAGGCAUCCUGCUAGAUCCUUAGUCCUAUUCUAGCAUGCUGUUCUACUGAAACUAAAACUGAUAAUCAUAACAUAAACUUGUAUGGGUAAUUUAGGGGUACUUACUUGAGCUCGACUGAUCGCAUGCACCACACCCUUUUCUCGUUUUCAAAACUCUUUUCUUUUUAAGUCUCUUUCUCAAAAGUUCUUUUGAACACAUUUUUCUUUCGAAAAUCUUUUUUCUAUUUCCUCAGUUUGAGUUCAGUUACACCCGUAAGUGUGUCUGAAUCCCUCAAACCAAGGCUCAGAUACCAACUUGAAAUAACCCAAAAUACAACCCAAUUUUUUUUUGUUAAAAAAAUACUAAAGAUAUCAACCAUCAUAAUAUAUCAUGAAAUCGUACGUCAUAAAUCCCCAAAAAGUUAUAAUAGAUGUGUCAUGACAAAAGAGUUGUAUCAACAUAACAUAGUAUCUAAAAUAAACUCCCAUGACAAAAGCUGAAACUGUGGUGUGUGCAAUGCCGUCAUCCCGAGCUCUUCCCUUUGCUUGCGGAAGUACCUGAAACCAAAACUGAAACUGUAAGCACAAAGCUUAGUGAGCUCCCCCAAACUACCACAUACCAUACAAUCAUAUAAAACACAUAUUGGGCCUUGCCCACUGCAUCGGACCGAAGUCUAGAAAAUGCAUCGGACCGAAGUCCGGAACUAACCAGGGCCUUGCCCUCUGCAUCGGACCAAAGUCCAGAACUGCAUCGGACCGAAGUCUGGAAACUAACCAGGGCCUCGCCCUCUGCAUCGGACCGAAGUUCGGAACUAACUGCAUCCAACCGAAGUCCGGAAUUGUCUGAACAUAACAUAUCAUAAACAUCUCAACUAGCAUGAACACAUAAACUGCAUACCGCAUCGGACCGAAGUCCGAAACACAUAACACAAAUACAUGCUUGAAUCACAAAGACAUCAAGCAUUCUAACUACUGCAACGGACAGAGGUCCGGAACUUCUGCUAACUAAACGGGCCGGCAUUGUGGCCGUAGACCCGUUCCUACUGGAAGGAAAACUCACCUCGUAAUGUUGGCUGCUGAGAUGCAAACUCUAAAAGUGGCUGACCGCUGCUCCGGAACUGUCCGACUACAAAUCCCAGAAACACUAGAUUAGUUACUUGCAUAUACCCUCAGGGUAAGAUGACUAUUUUGCCCCCGGUCAAAGUCAACUUCUAGUUGACCGGACUCACCGAGUCAGGGCGCAGACUCGCCGAGUCCCUCCUUUACUAACUCUGACUUUAAUUCACAGAGUCCCUUUCCCACUCACUGACUCUCUCUGAACUCGUAGGUCGAAGAAAAAAGGGGACUCACGACUCGACUCGUCGAGUCUGAAGAACAACUCGCCGAGUCCUGCCGUGCAUAUUCCAAACAAACGAAUUCAAAACUAUUCCAGAGCAUCUGACUUGAAGAUCUGAGCCCUUGGAACUAUCUAAACACGUGAAGUUUCUAACUUUACGUGCAACUAAGAAGGAAUGAAGCUAUUUCACUCAAACACUACUUUUCUUGGGAAAACUCAUCCGACUCGCCGAGUUGUAUGAACAACUCGUCGAGUCUAAGGCGAUCUUCAUCAGACUCGCCGAGUUGCUCAUCCAACUCGUCAAGUCUACGGCUAUCUUCAUAUGACUCUCUGAGUCACGCAUGCGACUCGCCGAGUCCAUUUAGUCCCUUUUUCCAUACAGACCUGAUUUGGGCCAUGCAUUGGCUCCAAAUCACAGAUCUAAGCUUCUAGGGCAUUCUUAUCACGUAAAUUUGCAAACUUUACGUGCAUGCAUGGCUUUAAAGGCUUCAAAUGCUAACCCUAAGCUCUUAAUGGGGCUCCAAGCUCAAGAGAGACCUCAAUCAUGACCAUAACAGAAACUUUACUCUUCUAGAAUGCAAUAAGAGUCCAGAUCUAAUGUUUCCAUAAAAAGGGGAAGUCCAUCUCUCAAGUUUGAACCAUAAGAGGCUCCAAAGAGGGCAUAACAAGCAUAAAGGAGGUUAUAAUGGGGGAAUGCACAAGUUCAUAACUUCAUUACCUGAAUGAAAAAUAGAUGUAAGCUAACUCCUGGAUCUUCCUUCCCUUUUAUGGACCUUCCUUCCUUCCCAAUGCUUCCAUGCUAUCACAAAUACCCUCAAACUCAACAAUGGGGCUAGGGUUUACAGGGGAAAUGUUCUGAGAGUGAUAGAGGCGAGGUUGGGGGCGCAUAAGUGUGUUUAAAUAGGGUGCAAACCCUUAAAAUUAGGGCUUCAUCCAGACAGGCGGACUUGCCGAGUCCAGCGUAUGGACUCGUCGAGUAGCCAGCUCAAAACGUGUGAUUGUCUCGUCUCUACUCGACGAUUCGGGCUACAGACUCAUCGAGUACCCCUUAAUAAAUGAAAAUACUUUAUUUGAAUUACAUACCAAAAAUGGGGCAUUACAUAAUGCUUAGCCCAGAAACACGGACGUUACACUUCUCUCCUCCUUAGGAUGAUGCCAUCCCCAGAAUCAUACAUCAACAAACUAAUGCGGAUAGCGACUCAUCAUGUCACUCUCCAUUUCCUAGGUGAGAUUUGACUCAUUCGUAUGUUUCCGUCGCACAAGUAGUAAGUCAACCAUCUUGUGACGCAACUUCUUCGUCUUAUGGUCAACAAUCGCCUCCGGUUCUUCAACUAGCCUCUUAUUUUCAUCCAUCCUUAGCUCAUAAAUUAGAAUUAUGUCAGGAACUUCUCCCAUGAAUUUCCUCAAAUAACUCACAUGGAAAGUGUUAUGAAUAAUGUCUAGUUCUUCUGGUAGUUCUAGCUUGUAGGCUUGGUUCCCAAUCCUCUGAAGAACUUUGAACGGUCCAAUGAAUCUUGGACUUAACUUCCCUUUUUCCCGAAUCUUAUAAGUUCCUUGUAGCACCUGGUUCCUGGUAUGUAAUUUAUUUAAAUAUUUUGCAUUUUUGGCCUUGGACUCGGCAAGUUGAAGGACCAACUUGCCGAGUAGAAGCGGGAUGGGACGUGGGAUUUAAGUGAUGGACACGUCGAGUCGGGUCCCGGACUCGACGAGUAGGCUCUGACUGAAAAACCCUAAUCCGAGGGUUUGCACCCUAUUUAAUCAUCUCAUUUUCCCCUAAUGCUCCCAGAAACCCUCCCUAGUAAACCCUAAGUGUUUUGGUGCAAGAUCUAAGGCUUUUGAGUGAUUUUUGUGGGUUUUGACCUCAAGGAAUAAGGAAGAGCAUAGAAGGAUCAAGAGGAGACUGAAGGAUUAGAGUUUGGUGCAUCAUUUUCAGUCCUUGAAAGGUAUAAAUUAUGUACCUUGCUUGUUCAUUUGUUAGAUCCUUUUUUGGGGAAGAUUUAGGGCUUCUUAAGUCAUAUGAGGUGGCCAAACAUGGUUGGGGGUCAAGACUUCGGAUCUAAGUCUUGGAAGGAGUCCCAAAGCAGAUUUGGGUUGCUUUUGCACCCAAGGAAGGUCCCAUGCAACAUAAGAGCCAUUUUAGAGCCUUUUUGGGUCAAAAGUCCCAUGCAUGCACGUAAAGUUCGAAACUUUACGUUCUAGAUCGAGCUUAGGGCUUGGAUCUAUCUUUUUGUCAAAGGUUGUACAUCAGAAAUCGAGGAUUUAGGGUGUGGAUGUUAUCGAAUCGGCGAGUCAGUUCUUGGGACACGACGAGUCCAAAGCAUAGGGUCUGUUAUCUGUUGAGGGUCAAAAGAACCCAGUUGGGUGUUAGAAGGGUUGUAGAAGGUCCGAGAGAGUGACCCAACGUGUUGGACUUAGCCUUAGACUUGGAAUUCAUGGGACUCGUCGAGUGCUAGAACAGACUCGGCGAGUCCAAGGCAAUCUCCUUAUCGAUGAAGAUGAACUCGACGAGUUGUUCAUACAACUCGGCGAGUCGGGGUCAGGACUUGUUCAUCAGAUGAAGGUGAACUCGACAAGUGUUCAUCCGACUCGGCGAGUCGGAUGAAGGUUCAUUGAUGUUCGUAAAGAAAGGGAACUCGUCGACUUGUUGCCAAACUCGACGAGACGAGUCGUGGAUAAGGACGAGUAAAGGAAAGGGACUCGACGAGUUNAACUCGGGGAGUCGGGUCAACUGGAAGUUGACUUUGACUUGGACUUGGUUGGGGGUAAAAUAGUCAUUUUACCCCAAGAGUAGAUAUUAGUUUUCUGACUGAGUAUUUUGUGGGGAUUAUAGCCGGAGGAUUUCCGAAGCAACAGCAGGCAGAGGUUUCCUGCACAUAUUAUCAGCAGCUACUUGUUCGAGGUGGGUUGCCUACCAGUAGCGGUGGGUCUACGACCACAAUGUCGGCCCACCAAUAGGAGUUGUAUAAUUAUAUGAUUGUCUUUGUGAUAUCAUCUAGGUUGCUUCUACCUGAUAUGUUAUAUGCUGGCAUGAUAUGUUAUAUGUGAUAGUAGUAGAGUUCGGUUGUUAGGACCGAAGGGUAGGUCAAACACCCCAGAUAUGUAUGACAGUAUGUGAUGAUAUGUUUAUAUGCCGACAUGACAUGUUAUAUGGGAUAGUGGUAGUAGGAGGGGAACAGUCCCCAAGUUCGGUUGUUAGAACCGAAGGGUAGUUCAGACACCCCAGAUAUGUCUGAUAGUAUGUUUAUGUUAUGAUAUAUGUGAUAGUAGUGGUACGUGUGGAAUAGUCCCCGAGGGUCGGUCUUUAGGACUGACGGGUAGGUCAGCACCCCAAAAAGACUUGACAGGGGUAGGACGACACCCCAGAAUGGCCGCACGGGUAGGUCGGCACCCCAGAAUGGCCGUACCGGGUAGGCCGGGCACCCUAGAAUUGCCUGGCAGUAUGUAUGCUAUGUGAUUGUAUGGUAUGUGGUACGAUGGGGGAACUUACUAAGCUUCCUGCUUACAGUUUACAGUUUUGGUUUCAGGUACCUCUUCAACAAAGGGGAAGGAGCUGGCGCGGUAGCGGCACAUCAUACACACAUGUUGGUUUCCGCACUAGUGUUUCUUGGGUCGUUACAAGUUGGUAUCAAAGCCCUGAUCUGAGGGAUUCGGACACACCUUGGGGGUGUCUGGACUCAAAUCGAGGGAUUAAAAGACUUUUACAAGAAAAAUGGUUUCUUAAAAGCUAAGAUAAAAGAGUUUUGGGAAAGAACAAAGUGUGUGAUGUGCGCGACCGGCCGAGCUCAAGUAAGUAUUCCCCAAAGUACCCAUACAAGUUUAUGUUAUGUUUAUCAGUUUCAGUAGAAUAGCAUGCUAGAAUAGGACUGAAGAUCUAGGAAUGAUGGCUUAUGUGUCUGCUUUAUGUGCUCCAGCUUAUGAGAAUUGCAUGCUAGUAUUAAGUAGAAAAUAAUAGGAUAGUCUGUUUAGGUUAUGCCUGGUAUUAUGAGCUCAGCAUUGUAUGAUGGUACAACUUCUCGUUAGGAGAAUAGAGUUGUUUGAGUAGUUUCCUGUGUCCGAAUGAUGCUUGCUCAGUGCUUGUAGGACUCUGAAUGAUGGCCGUUAGCCAUUAGGUGAGUACGUCGCGUCGCAUGUCAUUAGGAUUGAAUAAUCUCAGAGUGCUGGAUUUGGCCCUAUUGCGCGGCUCUCGUUUGAGUCUAACCGUUGUAGGGACGAGUCUUUUACUUGAAGGAUUAUCUGAGCCUUGUUACAUGUGAUGGUAUUUAGGUGAUGGCUAAUUGAUAUCACAAGGAGGCCUUCAACAGCCGAGGACCGGUUUGGGUAGAGUCAGAGAUUUUCCCUAGGGUAAGCCUACGAUGAGAGUAGCAGAGAUCAGCAGUGGAAAAAGGGACUUGGUGGAGUCGAGGCCGUCCUUGAGGAAAGUACGGAUAGAUAUGGAAGGUAGUAUGGGCCCGUACUACAGAAAGCAGAGGAUCCGUACUCGAAUUAAGGAAGGCUAAGGCAAGACCAAGGAACUUGUGAUGGGUGUGAUCCCUAUAGAUGUACUAGUAUCACUGACGGAUGUCAUGAUGUAUUGCGGAAUGGUGGUACUAAGGCCAAGGCCAGCAGUGGGUAGCUCAGGAGAGGGAUCGGGUUCGGGUUCAGGCUCCGAACCAGUGGACGAGAGGCUACGCGAGUUCAUCGCGUCUAAGAUCACUAUAGGCAUCCUUGAUGCGACCCCGAUCAUCUUUGGGUCGAUCAAGGAAGGGAUUGUUGAGCUGAUGGAGGAUCGCCUUAGGGCGCUCAGGAGUGACAUGGCGACCAGCCAGUCAGGAUCCCGCAUACUAUCCUUUAAGGACUUCAGGGGCAGUGGCGCGCCGGACUUCCACGGGGAAAAGGACCCCAUUUCUGCUAGACGAUGGAUUGCGGACAUGGAGUCUGCACAGCUGACAAGCUUCUGCCCCGAGGGGCCGAAGGUGAGAUAUGCAGCAGGGUGUUUGAGAGACAGAGCUAGAGAUUAGUGGGAGUCUGUUGUUGACUCCUUGGGAGCCUCGGCUGUUGAGGCUAUGACCUGGUUAGACUUUGUGACCAGAUUCAGGGCGGAGUUUGCGCCAGCUGUAGAGCUUCAGCAGCUGGCCAGAGAGUUUUUGGAUAUGAGACAGACUACGGAGACUGUGGCGGAGAUCACCGCCAACUUCUGGGAGAGGGCAUUGCUUGUGCCCCAGUAUGCGGGAGAUGAGGACAUGAGGAUGACCCGCUAUCAUGACAUGCAGCGAGCCGAAAUUCGGGAGCAUGUUAGUUUUUCAGCUUGCCCUACCCUAGAUUCCAUGAUUUCCAGAUCAAGGGAGAGGGAGAUCGAUCUAGAACAUGUCCAGAAGAGGAAGGUAGAGGAGGGGCAGACGAUUGGGGCUUCGGAGAAGAAGCCUAAGGGAUCAGAUGGUAGGCCGAAAGGCCAGUCAGGACCAGGCCACUGCAGGAAAUGCGGCAGGCCACAUGAGGGGGCGUGUAGAUUGGGAUUGUCGGGCUGCUACAAGUUCGACAAGACGGGGCAAUUCAGCAGAGAUUGUACCGCCCCUACACCAGUUAUUCAGACGUCUGAGUUGCUGUGUUUUCAAUGCAACCAGAGGGGCCACAAGAAAGACAACUGCCCCCAGUUAACAGCAGCAACAGUGCCAGUGAAGGCGCCAGGUCUAGCGACCCUGCGAAUUACUGAUGACUGGAAGGCCAAGGCUGAGGCUCCAGUGGUGAGGAGUCGGGCCUUCCAGUUGACUACCGAGGAGGCACGCGCUGCACCCGAUGUGGUAACAGGUAUGACUUCUUGUUUAUGCUUUUAUGAUAUGCUGCUGUGAUUUUGAUAUGUUAUGUAUGUGCUCUGUUUAGGAUCGUUCCAUGUGAACGGUAUCCCAGUUCAAGUAUUGUUUGAUUCGGGUGCUACCCGAUCAUUUGUCUCUCUUGCGCUUAGCAAGAAGUUUCCUGAGUCUUCGGGCAUGUUGGAUUGCCCUUUAGAGGUUGAGAUUGUAGACGACAGGUCGGUACGAGCAUUAGAGGUCUUCCGAGAUUGUGUUUUGAGGUUGUUCGAGGAGCGUUACAUGGUAGACUUGAUUCCCAUACCCUUGCGGGGGAACAAGGUUAUUAUCGACAUGGAUUGGUGGAGCCCCAAUAGGGCGGUGAUAGAUUGCGCACAAUAGUUGGUGCGAGUCAGGACCCCAGGAGGGGGAGAUUUAGUGAUUUAGGGUGAGAGCCACAGCGAGGGCCAACCUUAUGUUCGGCAACGAGGACAAGGCGUUACCUUCAGCAGGGUUGCGCCGGAUAUGUCGCUUAUGUCAUGGACACCCGGGAGGAGGGAAAGGCGACAGUGGGCAAUGUGCCUGUGGUACGAGAGUUUGCGGACGUAUUCCCCGAGGAGUUGCCUGGGAUACCUCUGGAACGAUAGGUGGAGUUUAGGAUCGACCUAGUCCUUGGUGCGGCUCCGAUAGCCAAGGCACCGUAUCGGUUGGCUCCUCUUGAGAUGCAGGAGUUGUCUACACAGCCGCAGAAAGUAUUAGACAAGUGAUUCAUUAGACCUAGUAGUUCUCCCUGGGGAGCCCCGAUUCUGUUUGUGAAGAAGAAGGACGGGUCGCAUCGGAUGUGUAUAGAUUAUCGGGAGCUGAAUAAGUUAACGGUGAAGAACCGUUACCCACUCCCGAGGAUUGAUGACCUCUUUGACCAGCUACAGGGAGCAUCUUGGUUCUCCAAGAUUGAUCUGCGUUCAGGGUAUCAUAAGAUGAGGGUCAGAGAGGGGGAUGUACAGAAGAUAGCGUUCCGGACGCGCUAUGGCCAAUAUGAGUUCGUGGUGAUGCCUUUCGGGCUCACCAAUGCUCUUGCCGCAUUCAUGGAUCUCAUGAACCACGUGUGCAGACCAAUGUUGGAUCGGUCCGUGAUAGUUUUCAUCGAUGAUAUCUUGGUUUACUCCAAGACACAGGAGGAGCACGAGGAGUAUCUGCAAGAGGUUCUAGAGACUUUGAGAAGGGAGAACUUGUAUGUUAAGUUCUCCAAGUGUGAGUUCUGGUUGCGCGAGGUGCAAUUUCUCAGACACCUUGUCAACCAGAACGGGAUAUCGGUGGACUCGGCCAAAGUGGAGGCCGUGAUGAGAUGGGAGGUUCCAAGGUCUCCAUCCGAGAUUCAGAGUUUCCUAGGAUUAGUCGGCUACUAUCGGAGAUUCAUCCAUGAUUUCUCCAAGAUAGUCAUACCCCUGACCAGGCUAACGAGGAAAGUCGUGGUUUUUCGUUGGGGGCCUGAGCAGCAGGCCGCAUUCGAGACAUUGAGACAGAGAUUGUGUGAGGCACCAAUCUUAGCCCUAUCGGAGGGCAUAGAGAAUUUUGUUGUGUACUAUGACACGCCCAUUUCAGGUUUGGGCGCGGUACUGAUGCAGAGAGGGCAUGUCAUUGCCUACGCUUCGAGGCAGCUGAAGCUUCACGAGGCGAACUACCCGACGCAUGAUUUGGAGCUGGGGGCUGUUGUGUUCGCCCUUAAGAUUUGGCGUCAUUACCUCAAUAGGGUUCGCUAUACUAUCUACAUAAACCACAAGAGUUUGAUGUACCUCAUGGAUCAGCCGAAUCUAAACAUGAGGCAGCGUCGGUGGUUAGACGUGGUGAAGGAUUACGAUUACGAAAUCCUUUACCACCCGGGGAAGGCCAAUGUGGUGGCCGACGCACUUAGCCGCAAGGCAGCGCCGAUCAGGGAUAUUUGUCUGAGGAUGAUAGUGGUGACCCCGCUGUUGGAGCGGAUUCGGGAGGCCCAACGGGAGGCCAUGAAGGAGGAACAUCGGAAGAGCGAGCGGAUUGUGGGGCAAGUUUCCUCCUUCGAUUAUGAUAGCCGAGAGCUGUUGACACUACACCGUAGGGUGUGGGUGCCGUACCACGGGGGUGUACGCCAGGUUCUGAUGAAGGAGGCGCACAAAUCUCGAUUCUCCAUUCAUCCCGGGGCGACGAAGAUGUACAAGGACCUUCUUUUGGACUAUUGGUGGCCCUGCAUGAAGCUGGAUGUAGCAUGGUAUGUGGAGUGGUGCUUGACCUGUAGGAAGGUCAAGGCCAAGCACCAGAGGCCACAUGGAAAGAUGCAGCCGUUGGAUAUCCUGCUGUGGAAAUGGGAAGACAUUACGAUGGAUUUUAUCAUAAAGCUUCCUAGGAUCGCUCGGGGAGUGGAUUCGAUAUGGGUCAUCGUCGAUCGAUUAACCAAAGAGCGCCCAUUUUAUUCCGAUCCAGGAGGGAAUUUUGGCCGAAAAGUUGGCCAACAUCUAUAUCAGGGAGGUGGUGGUGCGGCACAGGGUGCCGGUAUCGGUGAUUUCAGACAGGGACGUGCGGUUCACUUCCAGGUUUUGGAGGAAGUUUCAUGACGAGCUGGGUACUCGUCUGUAUUUUAGCACCGCCUUUCACCCACAGACGGAUGGUCAGAGCGAUCGGACCAUCUAGACAUUAGAGGAUAUGCUGCGAGCAUGUGUUUUAGACUUCGGAGGUAGCUGGGAUACCUACCUUCUGUUGGCGGAAUUCUCGUAUAAUAAUAGCUAUCAUACGAGUAUUAACCGUCCUCCCUUCAAGAUGUUAUACGGGAGGAAGUGCAGAACCCCAAUAUGUUCGGGUGAGGUUGGCCAGAGGGUCAUGAGGAGCAUCGAGGUGGUGCUCAAGAUGACAGAGAGGAUUCAGCAGGUCCGGAGCAGACUUCAGACUGCUCAGAGUCGGCAUAAAAGUAAUCUUGAUAAGCGCCGAUCAGACCUGGAGUUCCAGCUCAAGGAUAUGGUUCUCCUAAAGCUGUCGCCAUGGAAGGGCGUCAUCCGAUUUAGGAAACAGGACAAGUUGGGCGCCACGUACAUUGGACCGUUCAGAUUCUUAGCCCGGGUGGGCAAGGUAGCAUACAGGUUGGAUCUGCCAGCCGAACUCAGCCAGAUCCACAACACUUUCCACGUCUCCCAGCUGCAGAAGUUUCUGGUGGACGACUCAGCAGCGGUACCCUUAAAAGAUAUUCAGGUCGAUGACAGCUUGAAUUACAUUGAGCGGCCAGUAGCGAUCCUCAACCGGAAGUCGAAGGAACUGAGGAACAAGAGGGUUGAACUAGUGAAGGUGCAAUGGCAACAUCGGAAGGGCUCAGAAUGGACUUGGGAGCCAGGGGAGGAGAUGAUCGAGCAUUACCCAGAGUUGUUCCAGGAACGAACAGCAGACUUCGAGGACGAAGUCUAAAAUAAGUGGGGGAGAUUUGUAGCACCUGGUUCCUGGUAUGUAAUUUAUUUAAAUAUUUUGCAUUUUUGGCCUUGGACUCGGCGAGUUCAAGGACCAACUCACCAAGUAGAAGCGGGAUGGGACGCGAGAUUUAAGUUAUGGACUCAUCGAGUCAGGUCCUGGACUCGACGAGUAGGCUCUGACUGGACAAAAACCCUAAUCUGAGGGUUUGCACCCUAUUUAAUCAUCUCAUUCAGCCACCACUCUACCCUAAUGCUCCCAGAAACCCUCCCUAGUAAACCCUAAGUGUUUUGGUGCAAGAUCUAAGGCUUUUUGAGUGAUUUUUGUGGGUUUUGACCUCAAGGAAGAAGGAAGAGCAUAGAAGGAUCAAGAGGAGACUGAACAAUUCGAGUUUGGUGCAUCAUUUUCUGUCCUUGAAAGGUAUAAAGUCUGUACCUUGCUUGUUCAUUUGUUAGAUCCCUUUUUGGGGAAGAUUUAGGGUUUUUUAAGUCAUAUGAGGUGGCCAACCAUGAUUGCAAACAUGGUUGGGGGUCAAGACUUCGGAUCUAAGUCUUGGAAGGAGUCCCAAAGCAUAUUUGGGUUGCUUUUGCACCCAAGGAAGGUCCCAUGCAACAUAAGAGCCAUUUAGAGCCUUUUUGGGUCAAAAGUCCCAUGCAUGCACAUAAAGUUCGAAACUUUAUGUGCUAGAUCGAGCUUAGGGCUUGGAUCUAUCUUUUUGUCAAUGGUUGUACAUCAGAAAUCAAGGAUUUAGGGUGUGGACGUUAUCGACUCGGCGAUUCCGUUCUUGGGACUCGACAAUUCCAAGGCAUAGAGUCCGUUAUCUGUUGAGGGUCAAAAGAACCCAGUUGGGUGUUAGAAGGGUUGUAGAAGGUCCGAGGGAGUAACCCAACGUGUUGGACUUAGCCUUAGACUCGGAAUUCAUGGGACUCGUCGAGUGCUAGAAUAGACUCGGCGAGUCCAAUGCAAUCUCCUUAUGGAUGAAGAUGAACUCGACGAGUUGUUUAUACAACUCGACGAGUCGGGGUCAGGACUUGUUCAUCAGAUGAAGGUGAACUCGACAAGUGUUCAUCCAACUUGGCAAGUCGGAUGAAAGUUCAUUGAUGUUCGUAAAGAAGGGGAACUCGUCGACUCGUUGCCAAACUCGACGAGUCGAGUCGUGGAUAAGGACGAGUAAAGGAAAGGGACUCGACAAGUAGAUGACCCAACUCGGUGAGUUGGGUCAACUGGAAGUUGACUUUGACUUGGACUUGGUUGGGGGUAAAAUAGUCAUUUUACCUCAAGAGUAGAUAUCAGUUUCUGACUGAGUGUUUUGUGGGGAUUAUAGCCGGAGGAUUUCCGGUGCAGCAGCAGGCAGAGGUUUUCCAAACAGAUUAUUAGCAACUACUUGUUCGAGGUGAGUUACCUACCAAUAGCGGUGGGUCUACGGCCACAAUGUCGGCCCACCAAUAGGCACUACUAGAAAAAAGGCGUUUUACGAUGCUCAUUGCGCGUCGUAAAACGCUCAGACAACGCGAAAAUGCGUGUCAAGGAAGGCCCUGUCAUAACGAGAGACGACACGCAUUUACGACACGCAUUUACGACGCUCAUUUACGACACGCAAUGCGUAUCAAGGAAGGCCAUGUCAUAAAGGAUGACGACACGCAUUUGAGUGUCGUAACCUUACGACACGCGUUUAGGACAUGCAUUGUGUAUCAUUAAAGCCCCUGUCAUAAAUGAAGAUGACACGCAUUUGCGUGUCAUAAUCUUCAGCAACCAUUUACGAUAUGCAUUUACGACACGUCUUUACGAUACACAUUUACGCAAAAUACAAAAAUAUGGAAAUAAAUAUAUAACAAAACAAUCAAUUUCAUUCAUUAACAUCAUGUCAAAAAAUUGUAAUACAUAGCGGAAGUAUUUGUUGAGAGCCCAAAAAGUUACAUAAAUCAAUGAAAGUAAAAUUCAUAACUUUUCUAGUUUUCAUAAUCCUAACAAUAGCUGCAUCAACCUGCGAUAUAUUUAUAAAAAAAAUGUGAUUAUAAAUUUAUAAUUACAAAAAAAAAUAAAGCAAAAAAAAAUUGGACCUGAUAUUGACGAUCUUGGGAAACUCUCUCUGUGGUGCUUGCGUUUUCUUCCACAGUUUCCUUCAGCUGGAUAUCAUUCACAUGUACAUGGAAUGGAAUGGAAUAAUGAAAUAAGCAAAGGAAUGGAAUGAGUCAUUCCAUUCCAAUUUCAUAUGAACUUCACAUUAUAAAAAAUUAAUUGAUCUCACCUUUAUACGAUAAAGAGGAGCAGUAAAUACAUCAUUAAACAUGAAGGAAUCAUUGUCAUCCACAUCAGUUUGAACCUAUUCUUUUGUCUCCUUUUCUUCUUUCUCUUUCCCUUGUUCUUUUUUGUCUUGUAUCUUUUCAAGUGGUUGGUACAACAAUAGAGGUAACGGGACAUGUGCCAGUAUUGGGUCCUGAAGAUCUUGUUGCUUUUGUGCUAAGUGUUUUGUGAUUGAGAAGCAAAUGGUCACAAAUUGCAUAUGGGUUCUGGACAUGCAAAUAAACUUAACUAUCGAUCACAUAACAAAAGCAAAUGAAAGUAUGAUGUUAUAAUAAACAAUUCAAAUGCUAAUACCUUUGACAUGUUUGUAUCUACAACAUUUUGGGAGCUUUCGAUGCUUCGAAGAAUUAAAAGUAUUGAAAUAACCUCUUCCUUCUUUAGACUAUUAUGAGGCUUCCCAUCUUCACAAUCACCACCAAUUGCCAACAUAGAAAGAAAUAAAUACAAUUUUCCGGAAAAUAAUAAAAAUUCAUAUAUAUUUUUUUCAUUCAAAGAAUCAAAAUCAACAGGUAUAGUAUGCAUUCAAUUUAUAUUUCAGGAAAAAAAAACUAAUAGUAUACCUACCUGUAUGUGGGUUCAUAGCAAGUUUUCUCUCUUGGAUAAAACAUUAUUUUUUUAUUUUAUUUAUACUAAAUGUUUUUUUUUAUAUUUUGAUAUAAUACAAAUUAAUUUAUGUUUUAGAUAAGCUCUCUUUUACUUNCCUGUCUUUUACUUAUUUACAUUGAAAAUUGACAAAUAGUUCUUUUUCCACAAAAACAGACAAACUAUCUACAAUGAGUUUUUUGCCCUUUGCCACUAUUUAAUCACCUUACCUUAGUUUUACACACAAAAUCCAAUAAUGGAAUAAUGCAUUGAACAUUACACAUUUGCAAAUAAGAUACACAUUAGCAAAAAAUGGUCUUAGCACUAACUUUCACCACCCACCCACCCGAUAACAAAAGAAAAUAUAAUCCGCCCACUCAGUUUCACUUUAUUUGCAAGUAAGUAUAAACAAUAAUAUUGCAGGGUUUUUUUUUCAGUAUGAAUGAGUAUUCAGUCACUAUUCAUCCAUACCUCUUUAAGUAGUUGAUACCAAAUGCUACCAUUAUUCAAUCUCCAUCUAGGGGUAGGGCUAGGUGUUGGUGUUGUUGGAGCAGAAGAAGCAUCAAUGAUAUUGAUAACAAUGAAAGGGGAACUCAAAUCAUCAAGUUCAUCAUCACUUGUGUUUGACUUUCUCAACACUGAUGAUCCAGUGCGACCCAAGUGUUUUAUACAUACAGCCACUCCCUCUCCUCCAACCAAAAUGGUUUUUAUUAUUGAUGAUGCUGAUGGCGGAUCAUAAACAACCGAACCAGCUACACAUGGGACACUGCUCACACAGUCUUCGCCACCCUCUGUAGAAUAUAAAGCCAAAAGAAACCUGUGUUUGUUUACUACUCAAAAUGAAGACAUAAAAGAAGAAAGGAAUAUGCAUUGUAUUGGAAAAAUGAAGACUAAAAACCUCUUAUAUUAUCCAUAUCAAUAAAGCUAUAUUUAUAGCUUCUUAGACACCCACGAUGAAGUAUGAAAACAAUCCAUGCUCUUGACUCCACCUAAUUAGCUUAAGAAUUAACUAUUAUAUAAAACAUAAAACACAAAACAAUAAUAAUUAUCAAAUCUAAAGUUUCAGCCAUGCACGUGAGCUAUGACUAACAAACCGAUUAACCCAACACCUUCCACCCCCAAAUCCUUAGCAUAUAUAAACAAACACCCUCUAAAUGCAUGUUAUUAGACAUACCAAAAUAUCUUUAAUUGGUUGGCUUGUGUGUCCUUCACAUCAACAUAAUUACUUAAUUAAUUAAUUAUACUGAACUCACCUCUGAGUCUAAGGCUUCAAGCACAACUUCAGGAAUAGCAUCUGGACAAAACUCAUCUGGAACAAAACUAUCUAGUAUCCCUUUUAUUAAUGCUACACCAAAACUCAAACAUACCUUCAAAAAAUUUUAAAUAACUUUAGCUUUGUGGAUAACUACACUACUAUAAAAGAAAAAGAGCCCAAUUUUAGAGACCUCUUUUCUGAUUGUGCUAUCUAACAACAUAUCCUUAGGAAGCAUCAUCAGGUCACUUAAUGCAUUCAGGAGAUGAAAAGAUUUGAAUGAUGAAUCAUCAGCAUCUAUAUCAAAUAAAUCAGUCAGCCACCUCGACCAAUUUUCAAUUUGCACAUUGCCAAAUGAACNNNNNNNNNNUAUAUAUAUAUAUAUAUAUAUAUAUAAAGGAUCACUUGCCAUGGGAAUUGGUCGCCUAUGAUUCAGAUCAGAGGCCUGGAAUCGUCAAGGUAGAAAACACAAGUCAAGAAAAAAAAUAAAAUAAGAGACUUUUAGGCAUAAAUGGUAUAUACCCUGUAAUAGGGAUAACAAACUCCUUGAGUGCUUUUUCACUUGUUACUCCAAUUAAUUCGCCAAGACCUUGAGCAUCCUGUUCUCUCAAUUCUGCAGACCUGCUUAUUAGGCCCUGAAGAUAUAUGGGAAGCAAUGGUUGAAGAGCCUUUGGGAGACAUAACCUGGGUAUAACAAUUGGUCCACCCUAUAUGUCCAUCAACAAAUAUUUAAAUAAGAUAAACCUUAAUCACUACUAAAUGCUGAUUAAAAUACACAUAGUUGCCCCUCGAGUUCCAAAACAUUAAAACAACUCUAUUUUGUGCUUAGAUUCCAAAAUAGGACCAAAACAAAAUUCAUACGCAAGUGCUCAAUGGAUGAAAAAACUCAUAUGUACAAAUUCUAAGCCAAAAUACAAGAAUACAUUAGUUCUACAUAAACCCUAUCAACUCGAAAAUAAAAUUUUCUCGUAUAAUAAUUACAUAACCAAAUUAUGUAGUGAAAUCACACAUUAAAGCAAAUGUCUUUGUUAUUGUGAAUUUUGAUACAUCAUAUAUUAUUAUAUUUUUACCUUUAUUAUAGAUUGGUUACCCAACUUUACAUGCAUUUGUUGAGUUUAUUUCUGGAUUUGACAUGCCUUCUGACAUUCACUCAAAGAAGAAAGACAACAUUCUUCUAGAAACUGGGAAACCUUUUCGAUGGCUCUCUUCCAUGAUGAGUUAUCGUUGCCACUAGCUCAUAUCUUCGACCGUAUUUAUUAUAAUUUUUUUUAUAAAUUAAUAAAAAGAUGAAAAUGAUAUAUANNNNNNNNNNNNNNNNNNNNNNNNNUAUAUAUAUAUUAUAUAAAUACAUACCUCUGGUGAUGAUAAAAAAAGGAAAUCACGAUUCAGAGUAAGGUGAAGAGGAAUGUGGAUUGGUUUGAGUAAUUUUGUGCUUCCUUGACUUACAUAGCUAAACCUCAUUAAGUGUAGUAUUAUUAUCUCUGGAAGCUCUAAUAUUUCACUGAUUUACUUGCACAUACUAAUUCACAUAAUAAUAAAAAGAAGUAUACAUUUCCUGCUGAUGAAGCACGAUACCCUUCAAGUGUCUCUGGAGCUGAAAAAAGAUGAAGUGCAUCUUCUAUUGUAUGCAUAGGAUCUGGACAUAUAUUCAAAUGGAGCAAAAGAAAUGGCUGAAUAGUUGCAGAUGCUUUGUUACCUAUUUUUGUUUUACAUUAAAAAUAUAUAAAUGAUGAAUUAAUGAUAUCAUGUUAUUGAGAUGAGUGAAAAAUGUUAAAAGAUUAAAAAAAAAUACCUCUUGCUUUCAUUACACUUUUUAUUUGGCCUUCGAAGAUCUGACUUAAUUUUGAAGGAAUAAAACUUUGUGUUCUUGUGAUUGUAGUUUUGUUCUUUGGUCCAACUGUUUCCCAAAUAUCAUCAUCAUCUUCAUCACUUAAAGAUGAAACCAGUGAAACUUUUCCACCAUUAAAAUUACAAACUUCUCCUUCAAGUUUAAGAAGUUCAUCAUGCAUUUGGUGCAUUACAAAGCUUAAAAACACCUGAGCAUCUUCUUGCCUUUUUAAAAAACAAACUUCAACUCAGCAUCCGAAAUUCCAAACAUAACAUAUAUAAAAUUUGUUGAUUAAUUUUAUAACAUUAACACAAACCUUGGUCUUCCAGAGAAGCUAUUUGGCAUAUCUGGAGAGAAAUUGUUGAGAACAGAUUCAAACAUGAUAGGUCGAAAAGGUUUCCCAGUUUCUAGAAGAAUGUUGUAUUUCUUCUUUGAGUGAAUGUCAGAAGGCAUGUCAAAUCCAGAAAUAAACUCAACAAAUGCAUGUAAAGUUGGGUAACCAAUUUGUAAUAUAGGUAAAAAUAUAAUAAUGUAUGAUGUAUCACAAUUCACGAUAACAAAGACAAUUGAGUCCAACUCCAUCGGCGUUUGCUUUUGAAUGAAUUCCUUGGGAUAAACCUUCCAUAUACGCUCUGCUCCCUUUCCUUUUGGAACAAAACACCAUAGCAAGACUCCAAAUAUGUAAUAAUAAUCGAUCGAUAAAGUUUCUACAUAAGUUGCAGGUGAUCAAAAAUGGCGGAAAUCAGGAAAUGUAAAUUGUACCUUUAGCGAGAUUAGGGUAAAGCCAUCACAAGUUAGAGCCAUCAUCACCUGUGGGAGACCUAGGGGAAGUUGAUCGCCUCUAUCCACCUGCCAAAAAAGUGAAUCGUCUUCCCAUAAGUUUUCGUCACUUUCUCUCGAUCUUGCCGCUCAACCGGACCAAGGACGCCGGGAAGGAAAAGGACGUCCCUCUUCACCUCAUACUCGUGGAUGUGCCACAUUGGCUUUUCUGAAUCCGGCAAGGUGAAGAACAAUUUUUAUGUUACGAUGUUUUCAACUCCGAUUAAAAAAGCCCUAGAAAUUAUCCCAGUGAUUUUGUGAUAUAUGAGUUGUUGAGGUAUACAGCAGAGGUGGUAUCGUGAUUAGGGUUUGCAGAGAAAAGGGGGAAGAAGAGAAUGAAGGGGAUCAAGCGGGGUAUUAAAAAAUUUAAGAUUUUUGAGAGGAUUUCAUUUCCCCCUUUCAAGAAGGCGCGUUUUAGUAAAAAUUAUAAAGCGACAAUCACAGAGGACGCAUAUUUUAGAUAAAGUGCCCUCCGUGUUUUUAUUUUUUUUACAUUCGACACUAAUUUAAGGGCAUGCAAUAAUGCGUGACCUAAAUCCUCAAAUUUUUUGAAGAGACGACACUUUUUUAUUGUCACUCUCGUUUGCGUAACAUAAAUCAAUAAGUGUCGUGAUUUGCACAUCGUAAAAGGGUCUUUUUCUUGUAGUGAGGAGUUGUAUGAUUAGAUGAUUGUCUUUGUGAUAUCAUCUAGGUUGCUGCUACCUGAUAUGUUAUAUGCUGGUAUGAUAUGUUAUUUGUGAUAGUAGUAGAGUUCGGUUGUUUGGACCGAAGGGUAGGUCAGACACCCCAGAUAUGUCUGACAGUAUGUGAUGAUAUGUUUAUAUGCUGGCAUGAUACGUUAUAUGGGAUAGUGGUAGUAGGAGGGGAACAAUCUCCAAGUUCGGUUGUUAGAGCCGAAGGGUAGUUCGGACACCCUAGAUAUGUCUGAUAGUAUGUUUAUGUUAUGAUAUAUGUGAUAGUAGUGGUAGGGGUGGAAUAGUCCAAGAGGGUCGGUUUUUAGGACUGACGGGUAGGUCAGCACCCCAGAAAGGCUUGACACGGGUAGGACGAUACCCCAGAAUGGCCGCAUGGGUAGGUCGGCACCCUAGAAUGGCCGCACGGGUACCUAGAAUGGCCGCACGGGUAGGUCGGCACCCCAGAAUGGCCGUACCGGGUAGGUCAGGCACCCCAGAAUUGCCUGGCAGUAUGUAUGCUAUGUGAUUGUAUGUUAUGUGGCACGAUGGGGGAACUCACUAAGCUUCGUGCUUGCAGUUUACAGUUUUUGUUUCAGGUACCUCUUCAGCAAAGGGGAUGGAGCUGGCGCGGUAGUGGCACAUCAUGAAUGGUUUUCCGCACUAGUGUUUCUUGGUAUUGUACUAUGACAUUAUUCUUAUUUUUGUGAAUGGUUUUCAGACAUGAGAUGUGGUUUUAUGAAAAGUUAUGAUUAGAUGGUGUUUUCUUAUAAAUGUUUUUACAAGUCAAUUUUAAAAAUGAAAUUUUUGGACUUGUAAAUUGGGUCGUUACAUUCCUUCCAUGGUAAGACUUUAAGCAAAACCAAAUCUCCAACUUCGAAUGCCAUCAGUCGUCUUUUCUUGUCAGCAUAGCUCUUUUUACAAUCCUGAGCUGCUAACAUCCUUUCCCUAAUCACUCUUAACUUUUCAACAGUCUGAUGGACUAUCUCGGGGCCCAUAAACUGCCUUUGUUCAACUUCAAGCCAACAUGACGGCGUACGACACUUUUUUCCGUACAAAGCUUAAUAAGGUGCCAUCUUGAUGCUUAAGUGGAAACUAUUAUUGUAGGAAAACUCUACCAGAGGUAAGUGUUCAUCCCAGUUACCUUGGAAUUCUAGGGUACACACUCUUAGCAUUACUAUAGUGUUUGAAUCGUCCUUUUUCUCUAACCAUCGGUCUGUAGAUGGUAGGCUAUACUUAAACACAGCUUCGUACCCAAUUCUUCUUGUAGACUCCUCCAAAACCUUGACGUGAAACGGCUAUCAUGGUGUAACGCCCAUGUUUCUAGGCUAGGCAUUAAUGAUAAUGUAAUAGUCUAGGUUAACCUUUGUAACCCGUCUUGAAAUAAUAAAAAUGUAUUAUUUGAGUAUUAUGUGUUUUGUGCUUAAUUGUGUGACUUAAAUGAAUUAAGGAUAAAAAUAAGCAUCAAAAUGAAAUGUUAGAUAAACUCGAUAUCUAUGAAGGAUGUGGUAGUGGUCGUGGCAAGGUUUCCAAAUAUAUAAAGAAUGCCAAAAUCUGAGUUAUAACGAAAAAGUUAUGAUCUGUCGAAGUUUCGUUACAGAACCGGCACGGCACUGCGUGACGUAAAUAGUGAAUUUACGAUAGAGCGAUAUUUAGUCUUAGUGAUCUAAACAGAAGUUGUAGAAUAAGUUUAACCGAGAGCGUGCAUAAGAAGAACGUCUAAAUUUGACUUCGUAUGAGGAAGUUAUGAUUUUUCGAAGUUUCGAUUUAGCAGUAUGCAACCCAAAUCUCGAAUUACAGAUCGAGUGAUACUUGGCCGAAACAAUCUAAACGGGAAUCGAAGAUCUCGUCGAUAGUAGUCCAAAAGUGAAAAGACAUACGAAAACGGACGUCGGAUGAAGAAGUUAUGAAUUUCUAACGGAGUUUUCCUGUCCGACCUGCUAAAAAUAAUAUAAUAAAAAUAAGUUCAAAAUUAGCCGACGCAGUCUAAACGAAAGUUGUAGAGCAUAGUCUCACCUAUGUGUGGAUAUAAAGAACAUAAAAAAUGGAGCUCGUAUGAGGAAGAUAUGAUAUUAUGAAGUUUUUAAAUAAUUAAAAUAUAUAAAUUUUAUUAUAUAUUCGGAUAAUAUCCGAAUCCAUGACUCAGCCGAUCUGAUCCGAAGAUUACGCCCAACGUACUGCUUGUAGAGGCAUUACGCCCAGCAUAAUCAGGAUUUACGCCCAACGUAAAUCGAGGUUUCAUCCCCUAUAAAUAGAAGUCGUGGGCAGCCGAGUUUUGUUGCUCAUUUCUUCCUCUCUCUCCCGUUUUACCUCGUUUUACGUGCAAGCUUUACCCCCGAAGCCGCGGUAUCAUUCCCGAGACCCGAAGCCCCGGGGAUCCCGAGAAGUAAAGUUUCUGAGCCGAAACUCUGCCCGUGUAAAGCCCGGUUUUGGAGAAAACGUCCUGGUUUUAUCGGAAAAUAUUAUUUUAAUAUAUGAGGUGAUGUCCGAUCAUCUUCUUAUCAAGUGAGUGUAUAUUCCCUUUCUUCUAACACAUAGAUAUGAAGUAUCUACUUUAGAAUAUGUGUUACAUGUGUAUAAAUAUACGUGUAUAUAUAUGUUAUCUGUUUAUUUGGAAUGAGUAUCUUAUUAGUUUUUAAGUUACAUAUGAAUGCAUAUGUAUGUUGUUAUCUACAAAAUGUUGGGUAGAACUUGUGUAGAUAGUUGAUGUGUGAUAAACUGAUGAGAUGCCUCGAUGUGAUUGUGAUCUAGUCAUUCAACAGAAUAUGGGUGACGACCACGGACUCUUUCUAGACUGUCCCGUGGAAUGCUGGCAGGCUCAUAACCUGUAGGUGUUGGUGAACUUGGGUGUUCAUUUGUUGUAUUCUAUCCCCCUCAUGGUUGCCUUAGGACAUUCAUUGUUGAGAAAACCCCUCUGCAGUAGUGUCCGUCCUGAUGAAAAUCCUAGAUUAGGUCCCUUGUAAUAGUUAUUGUCAUAGUGACGUAAAGUGAGGAUAACAGGAAUGGGUAAUCAGGUUAUUGUUGGUUGGUGAAAUUAAAUAUAAUUAGUUAUUGUGGGUUGAAAACCCUAUAUGCUCACCAGGCUCCCAAGCUUGACCCACUCAGUUUUUUUGUAUUACAGGUAGUGGUGCGAGGGCAUAAGUUGGAGAACUUAUGAAGAUGUUUUUGUUUAUAGACCAGUAGUUGUAUAUAACAGUGUAAGGUCUAUGUUUUACUGUUUAUGCUUUUGUGUCUGUAUCGGAACAUGACAUCCUGAGUUUUGAUAUAUAAUGAAAAUACAUUUCUUUAAGAAAUGUUUUGAUAAACUUUAUUUUAUCAUGUUUUGUUUUAGGGACAAAUUCUGCAACUCUUUUAAAUCAAUGGAUUUACUCUGAAAUUAUUUUAAAAACAUAAAUGAAACCGGCCUUUUCUGGCCGUGAUUUUGGGGAUUUCACACAUGGUCUGAUACUAUCUUUAAAGGAACACCAUGAAGUCUUACUACCUCCUUCACGUAAGCAUUUGCAAGCUUAUCUGUAGACCAUCUUGUUGGAUUAGUGUCUAAGUCCAUAACUAUUUUGGUAUGUACUUGACCCGAUGGUGCAUGGUCCUUUUGGGUUGCCUUCACCAAAGCAACUUGAUUGGAGAAAUAAAUAAAGAGAGAGAGGUUAUUAUGAUUUAUUAAUAUGUUAUAAGAAUAAUAUAUUAAAGGAGAAAUCAUAUUUGUUUAAUUAAUAUUGGUCAAUAAUUAAUUAAGAAUUAAUUUUGUGAUCAAGUGUAAUUAAUUAAACUAGAGGGGCUGAAUUGUAAUUAUGUGAUAGUUACAAAAUAAGGUAAGGAUUAUCUUAAAUAUAGGGUGAACGAAUUUAAGGAGAUAAUGCCUUAGAAUUCGACUAGGAUAAGGGUUUCUAAGACUUAUCUUAUGGUUGCUUGGUGGGCAAGCAACUAGAUAAGGAUAAGGACUAAAACCCUAAUCUUUACACCUAUAUAAACCCCCUAAGGCUCAUGAAUUCGUCUAAGCCUUCCCAAGAAGUCCUAAGGACGAAUUCCUACCUCUAUCCUCUCUCUUUAUACCUUCUCCAUUUGCUCUUGGUGUUUGUGAGCCAUUAGAGGAGUGACACUUGUGACUCUAAGCCUUCCAAAGUCAAUUCAUGGAGAAUUGGGAUUGUUAUUACUACAUAACAAUCAAGGUAACAUCUUAAACCUAAUUAUAUGUUAAUAUUGAUUUCCAUAUGCUAGAAUUAGGGUUUAUAGUCUUGGAUUCAUUGCAUGUACAAUAGAGAAACCUAGAUCCAAGCAUUAGGGUUUGUAUGAGCACAUAGGAUGUCUUAUGACCAAAACCCAUCAGUGGUAUCAGAGCCUAGCUUGGUUUCAAUUGUAUUGAUGCAUUGUAUAACUGGAAAAUUCGUUUUUUGGGUUUCUGGAGGCUGGACUCGCCGAGUCCAUAGAUGAACUCGCCGAGUCCAUGCUGACUCGACGAGUCCAUGCCUGACUCGGCGAGUCGGCUCGUCAGAAGGAGGGAAAACCGGGAUUUCUUGCUGUUUUUGCUUAAGGAUAGUUGCCUUAUCAUAUUAGAUCAAUAUAAAUCCGAUUUUAUGAUAUAUUUGACUAUAUUCUUGAUCUAAUUGAAGAUAUUUAUCAAUUAAUAAAAUAUUUGUUUCCUUAUGUGAUAAUUGAUUAAUUAUUUUGAUUAAAUUGAUAAAUUGUUUUGCAAGAAAUCAUUAAAUAAAUCAAAUAUGGAUAAUUAUGUGAUUAAAUGUUAAUUUAGAUUAUUUGUUAUUUGAUCCUUGUUGUUAUGAAAAGUUUCAUAUUUUCCCCUUUAGGUUUUAUAGUUUAAAUUUGAACCCAAAAGUUUUGUUGUUUUGAAAUUUAAAUAGUUGAAACCCUAAUGUUUUGAAAAAGGUUUCAAAACUUGCCCUCAAGUUUUGGAAUUUAAAUUUUGAUUAAAUAGUUUAAUUUUGAUGUAUAUUUAAAUUCUAAACCCUAAUGUGUUGAAAUGUUUCAAAACUUGCCCUCAAGUUUUGGAAUUUAAAAGUUGAUUAAAAGUUUAAUUAGGAAUGUUAAAUUCUAAAACUCUAGUAUUGUUUUGAAAAAGUUCAAAUCACACCCUUAUGGUUUUAUUAAUUAAUUAAGGUGUAUAAUUAAAAGAGGUUUAAUAAAUCCAUAAAAGUUUUGGUUUACAAUUUAAUUGAAUUAAAAGUAUAAUUGUUAAAUUUGACCACCUAGUAUUUUAAAAGUGUAAAAUACACCCUAUACUAUAUAUAACAUUAAAAGUCUAACAUUAUAUAUAUGUAUGAGUAAAAGUCAGUCUUACCGUUAGUAGGCCUCAUUCACGAAGCUGGUCUAUAAGGGGUGUUUAAGGAAAUUGCCUAUAAAAUGGCGAUUGAAUGGGUAUCCACUCUUACCCACCGCACUCUUGACUAGUGGAGGGUCGUUAGCCGAACGGGUAGGAUAGGACGAAACCUUCCAUUAUAAGUAUAAUGAAGUAUAAAAGUAACUAAAUGUUUUCAUAAAAUUCCCAAUCUUAGUUACUUAGGCAAAAGUGAAUUGAUGCAAUUCCAUGAAAUUACACUUUGUGCCCUUGCGAAGACGUUAGUGGAGCGUGUGUGGUUUACCGGCACACUAAAUGGUUCUAAGCAAAGGUAGCAAAGGGUGACUCAAUGUUUGUCAUAGUUCGGUGGAGCGUGUGUGGUUUACCGGCACAUCGAAUAGGUGACUGUAACAUGUGAGGGCACCAUGUAAGUUUGCAUGGUUAUUCACACCCGCUUUGUGAUCCUCGGCAUCCCAGUCACAAACAAGAGGGGCAUAUCGAGAUUUAAACAUGCCAUUGAAAUGUUCAAUGAAUCUCAAAGGAUCUAGGAGUUUUCAUAGAUUUAAAACUUAAAUUUCUUUUUCGUUUUUCAUGGUGGAAAUUAGUGAAUCGUCAUUCACUUACCUUCAAAUGUUCUGCAAUUUGGGUUACGGCAUCCCUCUCCCGAGUUGUAGAAUAUUGUGUUGGGUCCUAGCCUUAGUAUCUCAUUUGGGUGAUUUACUAAGGACUCAAUCAAUCAACUAACUUGAAUUCUUUUUCUCCCGUUUUGUAGAUGUCAAAGUUCGACAACUAUGGUCUUCCCAAAUCCCGUGGAACAAGCAUUCCACAUGAAGAUGAUAUUCCACGAUUCGAUCGAGGAACAAGAAAUCAUGCUUCACUUCCUCCACCUCCUCCAAUUAUUCUCCCUAACCCACAAGUUCAAAGGCUUGAAAAGUUCAAGAUCACUCA